rnacentral:lncRNA from 1 species
GAAGAAGUACAAAGUGAAGUGUCCUCCCCUACCUGUGAGUUUAUUAACUAAAAGAACACAUACCUCCGUUACCAUGACUGUAUUCUAAUUAGUAUGUCUUUAACCUGUGUACUAGCUAACUGAGAUAAAGUCCAGGUUAGAAGUAACACAGGGCUCCUACCUACCAAGGGCAUAUCCAAGGAAACCAGAUAGUGUCUGCAUAGUUGGCUCCCUAGCUCAGAGGGAGGAGGCUGGGCAUCCUAGGUCUGGGAAGCAGGGAAACUUGUGAAGGACAAUGCUAUGGCAGCCAGGCAUCCUGUGCUUUUGCACAGGAGUUUCCCAGUCACCAGGUAUUACCUAGCAGCCAGGAAUUCUGUAUCUUUGCACAGAAACUUCCUAGUCACCAAGCAUGUCACAAUCACAAAGUUUGUAGACCCCAAUUAUAAGCACAGAAUUCCUACAGGUCUUUUUGUGUUCCUCUUACUUGGAGUUCAUUGAGCUUCUUGGAUAUUUAUAUUGAUAUCUUUUAUUUACUUUGGAAAGUUUUCAACCUUUAUUGCUUUAAAAAUUCUCUAUGACCCUUUGUCUCUUCUCCUACUGCUCACACAAUGCCUAUGGUAUUCUGCUUUAAAGUGUCUCACAAGUUCCUUAGGCUUUGUUCACUUUUUUAUUUUUAUUUUUUCUGUUCCUCAUGCACAAUAAUUUCUAUUGCCCUAACUUCAAGUUUGCUAAUUAUUUCUUUUACCUUCUGAAAUUGGCCUUUGAAUUCUUUUUUUUUUCAUUUCAGUUAUUAAACUUGCCAGCUCUUGAAUUUCUUGUACUUAUUGAUAUUCUUAUUUUUCUCUAUCACAUUGAUUGCUUAACUUCCUGCACAUAAUUAAUUGAGCAUCUUUAGAAUAGUUGUUUAAAAUUUAUUUGUUUAGUAGAUCUAUCAUGAGGUCUUUCUCAGGGGCUAUGCUUUCCUCUUUUUUUUAAUGUGAUAUUUUUUGAAAAACUGUACACGGAAUCUCUUUUCGUUUUCAUAAUAUGCACCCUACCAUGUGUAUAGUGAUUUCUCACUGCUGUUUAGAUUUUCAUUUUCCUGAUAAUUUGUGUUGUUGCACACCUUUUUAUAUACUUAUUAGCCAUUUGUACAUCUUCUCUAUAGACGUAUCUAUUCAAAUUCUUUGCUUGUGUUUUAAAUCAUAUCAUCUGGCAUUUGUUUGUUUGUUUAUUUGACUAUUAGAGAAUAUGAAGUCCUUAUAUAUUUUGGACAUUGACCUUUUGUCAGAUACAUGGUUUACAUGUACAUUCUUCCUUUCCAGGCUUUGCUUUUUCAUUUUGCUGAUUGUUUCCUUUGCUUUGCCAAAGCUUUUCACUUUGGUAUAUCCCCAUCUAGUUAUUUUUGCUUUUGUUGUCUGUACUUUCAGAGCCAUUUCCAAGUCUAAUUAACCUAUUUCCUAUGAUUUAUUCAAGUUUUAUGAUUUUUGGUUUUAAAUUAUGUCUUCGAUUCAUUUUGAAUUAAUUUUUGUUAGUUGCACACGAUAAGGUUCUACAUCAGGUAGUGUUGUCAUGCACUAGUUGACUGUAUAUGCAUGAGUUUCUUUUUUUAUAAGCACUCGAUUCUGCUUCAUUGGUUUAUGUGUCUGUUUUUAUACGAGUAUCAUAUUGUACUGAUUACUGUAGCAUUUGUAUGACAGUUUGUAAUUAGAAAAUGUGGGGGCUGGGGAUGUGGCUCAAGCGGUAAAACGCUCGCCUGGCAUGUGCAGGGCAGUGGGUUCAAUCCUCAGCACCACAUAAAAUAAAAUAAAGAUGUUGUGUCCACCAAAAACUACAAAAUAAAUAUUAAAAAUUCUCUCUCUCUCUCUCUCUCUCUCUCCUCUCUCUCUCUUAAAAAAAAAAAAGAAAAUGUGAUACUUUCAGGUUUGUUCUUAUUUUUCAAUACUGAAUUAUUUAUUUCAGGACUUUUGUAGUGCCAUAUAAAUUUUAGAAUUUUUUUUCUAUUUCUGUGAAAAAAAUGUCAUUGAAAUUUCAAAAAGGGUUAUAUUGAAUUUAUAGAUAGCUUUGGGUUGUAUGGAUAUUUUAACAAUAUUAAUUUUUCUAGCCCAUGAACUUGAGGUAUUAUUCCAUUUGUUUAUGUCUGUUUAAAUUUUUUUCAUCAGUCUUAGUUUCCAGUAUACAGAUCAUUCACCUCAUUGGUUAGAUUUUUCAUAAGUAUUUUAUUAUUUUUGACAUUAUAGUAAAUGGAAUUGUUUUCUUUCUUUUUAGAUAUUUAAUUGUUAGUGUAUAGAAAGAUGACUGAUUUUUGGACUUUGUACAUCACUGCCUCAGCAUCUUAUCAACCUAGCUGGACCAGUAAUGUUAAAUGGAAAAUGGAAAAUUAAUGACUUGUUCCCCAAAGCAAAGCAAGAGAAUGUAUUUCCUAUGCUGGGAAAUUUACCCAGAAGAUUCUCUUGGGACUCUGACAUUUAAAAAUAAGCAAAUGCUUUAGCACUAAUCCUAUGUCACAAAAUACCCUCCUCAGCAGCUGCAUGCAUGUUAAACUUGCAGCUAUAGGGAAUAUUUGCAAAAAAAAUGAAAAGAGCUCAUUAUUAUUUUUAGCUGAGAAAUGACUAUCAUCAGGGAGAUAAAUCAUUCCUCAGUGAAGGAAACCUCAAUUACACUUCAUAGAUUUAUAUGUCAUUUAGAUAUAGGGCAGAUAAACCUGCUGGGAUAUCUGGAGAAAUGAUCCUUGGUUUGAGGAAGUUUUGUUGCUCCCAAAGAAAGCUUUGAAAUACAUAGUGCUAACCAGACUGUGAAAGUUCCUUGCAGAAUUGUUUUGUCAAAUUGAAGAAAUGUUUAUCAUAGAGGUAUAAAAUUGGAGAUACCUUAAAUUAGCUAAAUAACUCAUAUGCUUAAAAAUUACUUUAAUGGGAAUAUAAGACAUACAAAAUCAGAUUUUGACAUGAGAUGGAAUCAAAAUUAUAGUGGUUGAGAUAAACAUAAGAAAAUAAACCAAUUUAUUCUGAAAAGGAAGUGUGCAUAAUACUUAAGCAAUAUAAGAGUAGAUAGCUCUAGGUUCAAUGUUUGGAUUACAAGACCUUCCAUAGAAGGUUAGUGAAGAUUUUGCCUCCUAAUGCCUCUAUCUCUACAGAGUUACCUUCUGGGUAGAGGUAACUAUCUUGUUAUCAAGAUCAAGGAACUUCAUCACUGGAAACAAAUUCACUGAACUCUGAAAUUCUUCCCUUUUGAAACUUAUUAAUAUAAUUGUUCUUGAGAGAUUGAGGUUAAUUUGGAGAAAAGGGACAUGUGUGAUCUGCAUAGGAGAUUUCCUAUGAGGUAGGGGAAUUGGCCUUAUUGAUAAUUUCAACAUUAGGCCAAGAGGAUUGUGGGGUAGCUGGAUGUGAAAUAGUGUGUAACUGAAUGGGCAGAAGUACUCUAGGAAUAGCUGAGAGUCAUAUAUACAAAUGAGUAGUGACAAUGAAUACUGAAGCAUGGGAUUCUUUCUUGUCCAGUAGAGGAAUCUGGGUCUGUCAGGUGUGAUUGCAAUGGUGAAAAAGGAAAGAACAAAUUUUAUGGAAUGAGUUUUUAAUAGUUCUGGGGUAGGAAGAUGUCCGUUAGAGAAGGAGACAGGGAGGGAUAUAACUCCAAAAUCUGCUUUCCCAAAUAGACUGGAGGAAGGUGAGGUUUGAAGAGAGGUGUUUUGGAGACUGUGUAUGUGUGUGUGUGUGGAGAGAGAGAGAGAGAGGGAGAGAGAGAGAGAGAGAGAGAGAGAGAGAGAGAGAGAGAGAAAACCUAUCUAUUUGCUGCAAAAGUGAAAAGCAGGUUACUCACUCGAGACAGAGAUUCAACCAAGAGAUUUUAUUGGGGAGCUGCUGCCCGAAGGGUAAGAAAAGAAAAGGAAGAGAGCAGAAAAAGGGAGAAAGAGAGCAGAGAGUGUGAACUUGCAAGCUUCAGCUUAAGAAGGGUUCUGUAGGAGACAGGGCGUGUGCUGAUUGGCAGCGUGACUCAGGAACUGGAGAGCAGACACUGUGUCUCCAGGGAUUGAUUUAGAAAAUUUUUGACUUUGGUGCCCUUUGGCAUGGUGCCCUUAGGAGAGGAAGGGGAGGGGUAAGAGAUAAUGGUGAUGUUCUUCUCACGAGAUGGAAACUUAACUUCAGCAGGGAGAAACUCAAUGGGGGAAAUAAAACCAAAAGGCAAGGUCUCCCACAUACCCAACAAAAAGUAUUUAUUGGGUCCCAAAUGAUGUUACAGGGAUGUUCUUAAUGGCUAAUGAGACAGGGCUGAAUAACAGAAGACAUGAUGAUCCUUUGCACAUGUGUUCACACUAAAUGCUGCUUUAUAAUUCACUUUCAAUGUCUGACAUACAUAACAUCACAUUUUAUGAAUGAUGAGACCAUCCCAAGUAAAGGUUAAUGGCAAGGAAGAAAGGAGGGGAAUAAAACUGGAAUCUCCUAAUCAAAAUUCAGUGUUCUAAUUUAAUUUCCAAAAUUAUACAGAUCUAAUAAGGUUAUUGGAGUUUUUGAUCCCACAAAGGGUACCCUGUUAUAAUUAGAAUAGAUUCCAAAAUGUAUAAAAAUGAUUAGCACGCUCUGGUCUCUGGCAAACACUCUAAGUUCUAACACUCUAACACUUUGCCAUCUCUCCCUCCUUUCACUGACCUUCAUUAAUUCCUCAAACAUAGAGUCCUUAAGUAUACUAUACUCCAUGAUAAUACUUGGCACACUAUCCAUUUUAUUAUUAACUAGUAGAAAUUAUUUAAUAACUGGCUUCUGAUCUGGACUCUAAGCCCUGUGUUGAUAAUUCUCCUUCUAUAUUGCUUAUUUGGUCUAUUCUCAAUGCUUUGCCCAGUGUCUGGCACAUACAAGUGCUUAUUCCAUGUCUUUUAGUUCACUCCAAAUAAGAAAAUUAUCUUUCUUUGACUUUGUGGGAAAUUAUCUUGCUAUGACCUUGUUCCUAUGCUUUUUGUCUGAUAUUGGGUAGAUUAUAUCCUCCUUCUUUGCUCAGCCUGUGUAACUUUGGCCCAUUCUUACAAAUCCAAUUUAAGACUCUCUCAGACAAUUGUUUCUGCCUCUUCUGAUCUUUUCACACAUUUACUGUGAUAAUGAAGCAGUCAACAUUUGAUUACAUUCAUUCUUUCUUUUUAUAAAACAGUGUAUAUCUCAUGGAUUUUUCUUUCUAUACAAUAUUUUAAAAGAAAUUCUGCAAGUCUUUUCCCCCAUUAUUAUUAUUAUUAUUUUUAGAGCUGUGAACCUUCUGGGCAUCUUCAAGGUGAUGAAUAACAACUAGCUGACAUUGAUUUGGAAGAUGCUCCAGAAUAGAGAGCAGUUAGGAGACAAAGGUUUCUGAUAGAGUACAGGUCUGGAGCUGAUCAAAGAGAGGGCAUAGGGGAGACAGACUUAUUAUUAUUUUUUUAGGAGGCUGAAUGUCAGAGAUUGUAGUGAACAUUUCAAAGCAUAUCAGAGAAAAUAACAGGGUAGAUAUUUGUCUCUCAGGAUGCAUCCAUGAGAAAUGUACUGAAAAAGUCCACUUGAAAACUAACAGGAAAGUCAAGGUUAAUAGGAGAAACAUUGAAUGCCCAACAAUAUCCACAGAGGUUUUAAUUUAACAUUAUAUGAAAAAGCUACACAGAAAGUGAAGUAAAUACAUUGGAAUUUAAAUCACUUACCAUAAUCUGUGUAUUGGGCCCUUUUAUUAAAAUAUUUUUAUAAUUUUCAAACAUUGAAUUUAAUCAACUCAACAAUACAAAAGUUGGCAAUCUGACAGAAAGAUAAUAACUGAAUAGACUUUCGUUUUCAACAUGAAUAGAACUUGUGGACUGAGGAAAACUAUUUUCCCCCUAUUCAUUCCAUGUCAUAAAUCUAUAGAAUUGAAUAACCUUGUUUUGAAAAUCCUAUUCAGACAGGGAACAGGGGUCUCUUAAUCUCAAAAUCCUAUGUACCAACUUGUAUUGCACUGAUAGGUUUGCUCUUUUUCUUAUUGAACUGUAAAUUCCUAGGGUCCAGAGAUUUUCUUUUUUUUUCAUGCCCCUAAGUGUCUGGUUUAUGCAAGGCACUUUUUAAAAGUAAAAGGUUAAAGAAGAUGUAGCAGAUGAUGUUGUUGUGAGCAAAAAUAGUUUCAAAAUUAUAUUUGGCAAAAUAUGGAAAACUUUCCUUCAACCACAAAGCAGGAAAAUGAUUUUUAAAACAGACUUGACCUAUUUAGGGACAAAGAUGCUGAAACCCCUUUUUCCAGAAUCUGCAUUCUAGAGUUUCUGAACUUCCCUUGUUUAUUUCAGCUUGGGAUAAGGCACAAUAAGGCUGCUGUUAUAGAAUCAAUAUGAUGUCUGAAAUAAGAGUAGUGAACAAAAUAUUAAUAAUAGAUACAUGAAUUAGUAUAUCCAAUAUGCCAAGUCAGACUAGUUGAAACACAGGGACCUUUUUUUUUAUCCCCACUGGGACUUGAACCCAGGGCCUUAUGUAUAUUACGCAAGUACUCUACCAUUGGGCUACAUUCCCAGUCCCAGGGACAUAAGUUUUGACAAGAGGGCAAAGAAGUAAUUAUGACCUUUGUUUGUUCUCAAAGAGGGAAAUGUUUGUGACCACAAGGUUAGAAAACAGGAAUAGAGGUAGAAAAGCCCAAACUACACAGUUUACAGUUGGAAGUGGACUCACCAGUUAGUUUCAUCCAGUGGUGUGACUAAGGAAACUGCAGUGAUACGGGAAUUACAGAAAUGAGAAAAAUGAAUGAUAAUUCUCUCAGAGAAAUGUCCCUGUAGAAGUAUAAGAAUAGAUCGUAUCUCCCUAAGAGUUACUUAGCUUGUUAUUUUGACAUCUUUAUACCUGUUUAUGAGCUACUACUAGACCAGGUACAUAAAGCAAUUAAAAUAAGUUUUGAGGCUGGACAGAAGCAAGGGACACGUGGAUAUGGUCAAGCUUGGCCUCUUCAUAGUUUUAUUUUUUUUUUCCCUCUCAGAUCUCAACUCCAAACAAAAAUUUACACUUUUUGAAUUUGAUUCUUUUAUAAUGUAGAUGACUCCAUGGAUCAAUUAUACUGUACUUAUAAAAUAUAUAUUCUCAAAAAUAUUGGAUGGGCUUGUGAAACCCUGGGAAUUUAGAAUGGGUAUAGAGCAAAGACUUCCUUUACUUCUUCACUGAUGCUGGUUCAUGUGGUCAGAAUUUUAUAAAUGGUACCACAAAUGUAUCUUUGCCCAGUCCUAGAACCUGUGAAGAAAAUGAGUUAUUAUGCUUGUGGUUAUAUUAUUGUACAUGACAAAAGAGAAUUCCUAGAUGUGAUAAGGUUACUGUUAAUCAACUGCCCCUUACACUGAGAAUAUUGUGCUGGAUUAUUCAUGUGGAUCUGGUGCAAUCACAAGAGGCAUUAUAAAUAAAGCUCCUUCUCCUGCCAGUAGACAUAGCAGGAAUAAAAAAGGGGAGGUCAGAGAAAUUUGAAGCAUGAAAAAGACACUGUUGAUGAGUUGAAGAUGUGAUCACAAGAUGGAAUGCCAGCAGCUUUGAGAGACAGCAGACACUGACACAGACUUACAGGUGCAAAGGAACUAGAUUGUGACAGUCACCAAAGGAGCUCAGAUGCAGAUUCUUCCUGUAAACCUCCAGAUAAAUAAGCCUAAUAAGCCAGUGUCUGGGUUUCAGUAUUGUAAGCUCCUGCACUGAGAACUCAGUCCAGUCUACCUAGACUUCUGACCAACAGAACUGUUAGAUAAUUAAUGGGUGCUAUUUUAAGAUAAUAGAUUUAAAGUAAUUCAUUAUACAUCAAUAGAAAACUAAUAAAGCUACACACUGACAUGUUUAUGGAUGAAAUUAUUCUAAUUUGUGUCAAAUUAAUCCAGUGUAGAAGCAUGAAAAUGGGGGUAAGCAAAACUAUAGUUAAAUAUAUUUAAAAUAAUCUGUAGUUAAAAUAUUAUAAAAAGCUAGAAUGUGUGCUUGAAACAGUUUUACAGAGGAACUAGUAAAAAAUGAGUUCUACAACUCUUUGAUAGUCUACAUCCACCUUGAGACUUUAAAAGGGUAAAUCAAGAAAAUUUGUGUCAAUCUAAGAUGAAUUUUUGCCCCUGUGCUCAAGUGGAGGGAUGGUAUGGCAGGUGUUCCCUCAUUCAUUUCAAGACUAGAGAAUCUUUUUUUCAACAAAACUGUUUGGAACAGCAAAGUUUCUCAACAAUUGAGUGACAUCAUGACAUGAUGUCACAGACAACUAAAGUACAUGUGAAAGUAAUCUGUGUUGGGGAUAGGGAAAGGGGGAGUGGGGAGUUGCAUUUUGAAUAGACUCCCACCAUAAGAGGAGCAGUGAAAUAUUUCCAUGGACUAGAGAUAGUGUAACAUGUAGAGUGAAUGGAUGAGUUCUUUGUCUCCUAAAUUUGAGGAAUGAAAUCUAUGGAUACAAGGAUGAGAGCAUAUUAACAGGAUUUACAGAAAGAAAUAAGAGCUCCUGAAGAGGGAGUGUCCCUAAGGAGAGAUGUCCACAGGUGUCUGUUGUCUAGGGGUUUUUAUGUUCUUUAUCUGUCCCUAUAGACUGGUGGUGACUAUGUUAAUGGGGGAUGCUAGCAUGGACCAAUUAAACUCUCUAAGUUCUGAGUUUAAUAAGCCAGUCAGAAGUUUAUAAUAUCCCUUAUUUAUAUAAUUAAGAGAACAGGUCUAAAGUUGGGCAAAGUGGCACACACCUAUAAUCCUAGCGGCUCUGGAAGCUAAGAUGGGAGGAGAGCAAGUUCAAAGCCAGCCUCAGAAAAAAUGAGGUGCUAAGGAACACAGUGAGACUCUGUCUCUAAAUAAAAUACAAAAUAGGGCUGGGGAUGUGGCUCAGUGGUUGAGUGCCCCUGUGUUGAAUUCCCAGUAAGAAUGGAUCUAAUCUUGUGGUUUGGCAUAUCUGUGAAGGCAAGGAAGUGCUUCAGGAGUUGAUUUGGUGGACAGUCUUUGCUAGGGGUAGGCAUGGGGUAACUAAGGAAAAGCUACUGUAGUUGAAGCUGUUAGGAACAAUAAUAGGUGCUAAGGAACCAUUGCAGAUGAAGCUCUUGGGGGCACCAAGUAACAGAAUGUUCUACAGACCAUCUCUUUCUAGAAUGGCAUGUUAUUCUCCUCCCCUCCUUCCCUUCCGCAAGGCCUUAUCCUAUCUGCCUAUGGGAGGUCUACCUUUCUGCCUCAUUAGCUCAAUAGAUUGCAUGCAAAGAAAUCAGGUGUGACAUUGUCUUAGAUCAUAUUUGUAGUUUUUUUACGGAAGGUAAUGAUGGUGCACUCUGAACUUUUUUGGAGGGAACUAAGUGACCUCUGGGAAAGAAGGCAGUGGUGACAUUCUUUGAGUGACCUACAGGAACACCCCCAUGAGGAAAGUCAUGAUAUUGAAAGAUUUUACCUUGUGGUAAGAUUUCCCUGUCCCUGAUCAUUUUUCAUUUUUUAACAAUUCCUAGAGGGAUCAGAAACCUUUGUAAGUAUGUGGGUGUGAGGGAAACAGCAGAAAAGAUGAGCAAGAAAGAAUGUAGUUUUUCUCUGUUCAUGGCCCUGCUUCAGCUGGGAAUAAGGGAGUUCAUUUAAGACAAAACAAGUUCGGUAUGUGAUUAUUACACAGAGUUUUACUUUCUGAUUGGAAGAUGGAGACUGUCUCUUAUAGUGAUGGUAAUAUUGUCAAAAUAGAAUAUGAUCACAUCUGUAGACAGCCUGUUCAUUCCCUUACUUAUUGCUUCCCAGAAUAAAUUGAUGAUGUUGGAGAUGGUUCAUUACAUGGGACUCGGGGGGCCGAAGGUGGAGCAGUACUUACCAUCCAUGCCCUCCUGGAGUCUCUGAACUGUAAAAUGUUAUGAUACACAAAUACAGGAAGUGAUGAAGUGGAGAGCCAGCACUGGCAGUGAAGAGCUGAGACUUUGUUCCUGGAGCAUAAAACAUACACAACUUUCUUUGCAUUUCUCCAUCCCAUCAGUUCCUGCUUUAUUCUCACCUGGGGUACUAAAAUAAUCUUGAAGUUGGUGUCCUUUCCCCAGGACAUCUACUGUCUCUCAAUCUCUUUCGCAUACUGCUCCAAAUGAUAUUUAUAAAACUGAAUUUUGUUCAUAUCAAUUCUCUUAUUAAAAUCUCUCACUGGUUCUUUACAACCCAUGGGAUUAAAUCCAAUCAUGAAGAUAAAUACAUCCUUCUAGAUCUGUUAUCUUCCUCCCUUUUUGGUUUCCAUUUCAUAUGAUCUAGAUAGUCUAAUAAGUCAUUGGAUAUUUAGAGACUAUUUCAAACUCAUAAUAAAAGUGACAAAAGAGCUUCCAAAGUACACAUUUCCAAAGUUUUAGAAUUUUUUGUGUAUCAGUCAAAUGAAUUUUUAUUACUAGGUACACUGUGCUGUGAAUUCUUGAAGAUAAAAGUUAUGUUGUAUCCUAUUCCCUGCUAUAUAUCUAAGCACAAAUGCAUAUUUUACAGAAAGAAAAAGAGAAAGCGAGCUCGUUAAUGUAAAACUACAUUAAUAGUGCAUAUAGAACAACUUAGAAGGCUCCCAGAAAGUGCAUUUUUAGUUAAAUAAAACUUCAGAGAAAAACGCUUUGUUUGAACCCCUACUGCAAAGAAUGCUUUCCAGACACCUUGUUGCUUAUUUCUUCAAGUAUGGCCCACCAGUCAUAAUUGAAUUUUUCUUAGUUGAAUACUUGAACAGUCCUUUUAGUCCCCAUUCUAUAUAAAGUUUUUUUGAGUUUGAUGUGAAUUGAGCUGAAAAAAAUAACAAAAGGAUAUGAUUAUGAUUUUAUUUAAAAAAUAAAUGCUCAUGAUUACCGUAGUUUCCCAUGAUUUACUUCUGUUUGUUGAAGUCCAAAUUCUGGUGGAUAUCAAUAAGUAUAAUGUAAAAUAUACAUUAUAAGUAAUUUGUACUCACUGGUUUAGUUGCAUUUUUAGAAAGACAGUUAAGGAAGUAAAUGUCCCAUUAGCAGUUCUCAAUCGGCUGUUAACUUGCUUAUGUGAUGAUAGAAAAAUGAAGAAAAAAAUACUGAGGACUUUAUGUAAACAUGUGCAUACUAAAAUUAAUGUAUUAAAUUAACUUAAACUCCCUUUGCACCUAAAAUAAUAAACACAAACAGGAAUUCUUUUAUUUUUUUAGUUCCUGGUACAUUACAGGCACUGUAGAAAUAUUUCUUAAUUUAAGCCUCUUACAAAUCUUUAACAUUGGCAUUGAUUCCUUUUGGAUAUAAGAAAACUGCAGUUUGAAAUCAGAGAUUCCCAAAAGUUCUCAUCACAGUGCUCUUGGUCAUCCUUAUUCUUUUUAUGACUGUUAGAUCAAAAUAAAUGCCCAAGUUUCAGUUAUUAAAUGGAGAUAGAGCCAAACAACUCAAGUGUUGAUAGGUCGCCAGUGAAGACAAAGAUGAAACCAAACUACAGUUUCUUCGAUAGUUAUCACAACAAACUGUAUAAACUGAUGCAUCAAGGAAUAAUAACUCAACAAGUAAUGCUCAUUCAAGGAGUCGAUUUAUUUUGGGAGGAAAUGGACAUAUUGAUAGAUUCCUCCACUUUGAACUGCUUGCAGAACUUGCCUGGACUAUGUAUUACUUAUAUGCAUUGUGAUCUAUCUGUUGAUGCAGCGAAUUAUGGUAAUGCUGGUGUAUCUUUGCUGAUGUGUCACCAGUGAUGCAAUUUUUCCUAAGGAGCCGUCAAUUGGCUUGGUGUCGUGGCAUUUCUGUAUCCUCCUCCCUUCUACUAGUGAUGGUCUAAUUUGGGGGCCAACAGAGUUGAGGCAAAGAACCUCACUCCCCCACCGGCACCAAGGCCAAAUUUGGGGGCCAAAAGAUGUGAGGCAAAGAACCUCACCCCCCCACUGGUGCAUAGGCCUAUCCACAAGUAUGGCUAUAUGCUGGACUGGUAGUCAGUGACGGGUAUGAUCCAAUUGCAGUGGUAUCAACCUAAGACAGGAGGCUGACGCCUAGAGGUCAGUUCAUCCCAUGACGGGUAAGAACCAUAUGUUGAAUUGGACAAACCUAACAGGCAUGGUCCCUAGCCACAUUGCUUGUUGCUUAAUUAAACAGAAGGGGGGAGAUGCUAAGAGCCACAGCCAAGUAAUAUGAUGAAUGACAUUUUUGGUUGAAAGGUGACGCCAGCAAGCCAUUGAGAUGAUAUGAUUAUGUUAAGAUCUGCAUUCAUAUGGAUAUUGGACUCCUGCUGUCCACCUCGGCCUGCUACAGGACUCCUGGAGAGUUCCCAUUGGUUGGGGAAGUGCAGUAGGAGGGAAUUCGGAGGAGGGACUUCCUGAGGGGGUCCAGGAGAAUGCUGCGUGGGUCAGUCGGCAAUCUUCCCGGGAGCUUACAGGGCAUUGGCGGCAGUUUCAAAAAUAAAGUUUGUUCCUGCUUGAGUGGCUCAUGAUUUUGUGCCCAGCCAGACUGUGGCAAUUGGACACAGUCAUUUCAUUGCCUGUUCUAUAGUGAUCUUCACAUAGUACUUUUUUUCUUAAACUUUUUUUAUUUACCACAUACACAGCUUCAGGAAAAAUACAUCAUAGGAAGAAAGAGUGUGGGAUCUAAUGUAAAACUGAGUAGACUAAAGCUAGUCAUUGUCCUGAUUCUGGCAGUUUUCGAGUAUGACUGUUUUCUUUGAGAAAUAAAAGUACCCUGGGGUUCUCAUCUGCAGAACCUCAAUGUUAUGAGUCAGGCUAUAAAGUCAAUGACCAAACAGACUUGAUUUUACCCUGAGACUCCAUGUCAUGUAAGAAAUGCUUCUUCUUUGGGAACAUCCUUCCUCUGUACACCCAUCAACAGUUGCUUAGCAUAGCAUGUUUGGCAACACAAAAUGGCAAUUCUUUAUUAUUAUUAUUAUUAUUUUUUAGUUGUUGAUGGACAUUUAUUAUUUAUUUAUUUAUAUGCAGUGCUGAGAAUCAAACCUAGUACCUCACGCACGCUAGGCAAGUGCUCUACCACUGAGCCAAGACUCCAGCCCCCAACUGGCAAUUAUUAUACAAUGUAAAAUUGUUGUCUUUUUGGUUCCCAUUUUUCUUGGACAAUGUACCCCAACUGUACCCUAACAGCAUAGAAUAUUAAUGUUUGUCUAGAUGUUUGUAACCAUUCUUUGACUUGUACUCAACUAGGAUAGUUUUGAUCCACUCUCCUUCUGCUUAUAAUUUUAGACCUCAUGAUUUUUGUUUAUGGUUUUAAAUCAUAGCAACAGCCACUUAAGAUCAAUAUACUGACAUGCAUUAAAAGGUGUGCUCUAACCCUUCAAGGGUGUCAUAUGGUGGAGACUUGCAGCCUGCUCCUUGGCCCGCCAGCUGGUGAAUGUGGACCACCAGCUGGUGAAAAAAGAUGGUUCCAACUCAGGCUUCAAGACUGAGCUGGUGAUUUAUUGCAAUCUUGCCAUAACAUCAACACUCUUUUAACUGUGUAGCAAAGUAACUUGUUUAAGACCACAUUGGCAGAAAGUAUAAAUCUGCAAUUUGAAUUCAAUUAUCUGUGACCCCAAAACAGUUUUGGGCUACUGAAAUUUCCUGGGGACUUACUGAGAGAUAAGAAGUCUCCAGGAUCACUGGAUAUCCCUAGCUUAUUAUGAUAUUAGCAUUUUCAGCUAAUAAACAGCCUUAAAUUUUGCCUAGGUGAUCCUCUAGUUACUCAAAUCUUUAUUAACUACUGUGGGGUCUAUGAGGAAAUAUUUUUAAAAUCCUCUAUUUUCCAGCAGUUUAUGUUUUCUAGUUGGGAAAAGAGCAUGGAUUUUCAAAAUUUAACUGAAGUAAACUACUAGAAUCCAUAAGUGAAAGGUCCUUGUGUUCCUUUUGUAGAAGCAUUUUCUAAAUUAUAAUUUUGCUUGCAGGAAAGUGAUGUUUAUGCCUGCAAUAAAAUGUGUAUAUUUAAUUAAAAAUGCUGGACUUUAAGGAAACAACCACUUUAAUUUCUCUGGUUAUUAUUUGAAUUUCAGUGGUUAUAGUUAUUUAAAGAAAAAUUCCCAUGUUCUGUUUUUGUUAAUGCUUAUAUAUAUUUUUACUAGCUUAUUCAUUUUAAUCAUUUUAAUAUUACUUGCUUUUUUCAAAAAUUGAAAAUGAAACAACUGAAGAUAAAGUCCUUUGUAUUUCAAAUAAAAUUGCUUUAGUAAGUUUGCAAUAAUAACGUUGGUAUAAUAAUGGAAAAUCCCAUGAGGUCCAGAAUAUUGUCAACCCACUGCCAAUCUGCUGCUGUAUAAUUUGCUUAUAUUCAAACUGUUUUUCAAGUUGUUAUAGUAAAAUAUGGUCAUGAAUUUAGAAGAUUUCUUAAAAAGUUUCCCUGCAUCACCCAAUGAAAGAUAUAAUAUUUCCUUUAUAAUGUAAUGAAUAUCAGUACUGAGCAAAUUUUCUAGAACAUAUAUUUAAAGUUAAGUUAGUUCAUCUAAGUGGAAUAAAGAUGACUCCCUUACAAAUUGAUUCUUUGUAAUAUUUAGGUGUGAAUUACACAGUGCAAGAUUUGAGAGGGGGGAGCUCAAAUGACCAUCACAGAACCUUUAGGAUUCAUUUUCAUUUCAAAUGCUGAGAAUUGUAAUUUCAAUAUUUAUCAACAUGGAAAGCAAAUCUCACUAUUGUACCAAGUUCUACAGCUUACUUUUAAGAAUCAAGACUGAAAUAAAUUGCAUAGCUUAAGCAAAGUCUCAAACUGUCUUUUGUAACUGUUUCUAUGGAUUUUAAUGAAUUUUUUUGUCAUUUAUAUGCUGUUUAUUAAAGAAUCUGUAAUAAUAAUACAUAUAUUUUUUUCUAGAAAAUAAAAACAGUAAUUUUACAAUACAUUUAAUGGCAACUGGUAGUAACAAAAUUUCUGUAUUUUCUUUACAUGUUCUUUUAGACAAGUCUGCAACUUAGUAUUGAUUAUUUGCAAGUUACCCCACUAGCUGUACUAUCAUUUUUCAAAAGGUAGAUCAUGAUAAUGUAGAAUCAUAGUCAUAAUAUGAUCAUACAAAAUGAUCAGAUUGUAAAUCAGAUUGGGUUUAUCACCAGCACUUAUAAAACCAGACCCAGGGAAAGAACUAGGUCUGGGGAUACCAUGCAUGGUCUUAAUAUAGCGAAUGUUUAGCCUGCCCUGAUUAUUACAAAAAUCAGAACAGCGAGAAUAUUCGCAGUAUUUUUUUUUAAUCCAAGAAAAAUUUUGUAGUCAUUAGCUGCAGUACUUACAUACAUUAAAAAAAAACAAAUAAAUUCUUUCAGGAGAAUACCAUUGGAUCAGUGAGUUAGUUGAUAAGCAAUGGUAGCUGCUUAUGAAAGAAAGGCAUUUUAAAAAUAUUUGGCUUUAUUUAAGCUGAGUGGCACUUUAAGCCAGAAAAAUAAGAUACAAGAGGAGUUAAUUUUAAGUAUUAAGUAUUAAGGUCAUGGAAAGAGUAUAAAUUUCAAUUUGUCUGCAGAAGUGUACUGAGAGAGUUGAAUAGUAGCUAUUAAUGUGGAAGCACAAGUUGGCCCAAGUUUCAUCAUUUAUAUUUCAUAAGAAAUCCACUGCAACCAUAUUCAUAAUUCUGAUUUGACUCCUUGGGAUUGGCUGUUUCAUAGGAGUCAACGUUGGCUUUCUUAUCUCUUCUUGGUUUCUAUAUUCUUUGGGAUUUGUGUUCCUCAUUGCCAGCACAGGAUUUUUCUUUCCUUUCCUUUUUCUUUGGGUUCUGAUGGCGGUGCCUUCCACGAGCAUAGUUAGAAUAGGCAACUAAUGGUCUUUUCUACAUACACUAAAAAAUAACAUUUAUCCAGCAUCUGUGAUGGUUUGGAUGUGAGGUGUUUUCCAAGAAAGCUCAUGUUAGACAAUGUAGGAAUUGUCAGAGGUGAAAUGAUUAGAUUAUAAGAAUUGAAUCAGUAUAUUAAUAUACUUCAUGGGUUAAUAAUUUAAAUGGAAUUCGGUGUGCUAACUCUAGACAGAGUGUUGCUGAAGGAAGUAUACACUGGAGGGAUGCCGGGGAUUAUAACUUGCAACUGCCUUCUUACCUAUUCACUGUCUGCUUACUGGUUUCCAUGAGCUGGGAAUCUUUCCUCCAACACAACCUUCACCCAAGAUAUAAUGCCUUACUUUGGUCCCACAGCAAUGGAGCCAACUGAUCAUGGACUGAACCUAUGAAACCUUGACCCCAAAAUAAAAUUUUCCUGCUCUAAAUAAUUCUUGUCAGGUAUUUUGGUCAUACUGAUGAAAAGCUAACACAGCAUCUAAUAAUCUGUUAUUCAAGAUAACCAAUAUAACCUGGUACAGUAUGACACAAAGUCACUGGGGCAUAUAAGAAUAGAAAAGUAUUUCAGGAUAGUAAAACAAGGAGAGACGCUAGAAUAUAACCAUUCUUAUAAAGAACAUUCUUAUUUGUACUAACCUAGAUUGGUUAUGGGCAUUUACAAUUGUUAAUUGAUGGCUACAUUGGAUAACUGUAUCAUCUAAUUUUAUGCCAUCCAAAAGUAAUAACGAUCUCAGGAUAUGUCUUUUAUCAUGUCAUUGCUAAGUGAUUUUUCUAUUUGUUUUUCCAUUCAAGUAAUUAUUCUCUUAACUAGAGAAUCUUUUUUUAAAAAAGUAAAAUAAAAUUGGGGACAAUUAUAAGGUAGUAGAAAGUUUUCAAUAAAGAUUGGGUAUGCCUGAGAUUUAGUUUGUAUCUGCUUUAGUGUAUUAGUUUGCUGGGGAUUCCAUAAUAAAGUACUUUAGAUUGGAGAGUUUAAACAAAAGAAAGUUUUCACAAUUCUGGAGGUUAGAAGUUUAAGAUCAAGGUGUUCACAGGGUUAGUUUUUGGAUAGCUGUUUCCUUAAUUUGUAGGUGGGUGUUUUCCCUCCAUGUAUUCACUCUGUCCUAAUUUUAUCUUCUUGUAAAGACAUCAUGAUAUUGGAUGAGGGACUACUCUCAUGAUUUAAUGAUCCUAGUUAGCUAAUUUUAACUUAAUUACCUUUCUAAUAAGCCUACCUCCAAAUAUCAUCAUUCUGAGGUAGUUGGGGGUUAGCACUUCCACAUGUGAAUUUAUGGAGGAUAGGUUCUAUAGCCCUUAACAAUUAGCUUUGGUGAUUUUGUUUUGUUUUAUUGGUGGAUUAUUCUUAUACAAAAUAAUGGGAAGUAUUGAUACAUUCUUAUAUCCACAUAAAAUUAUUGGGUUAAUUUCAUUGCCCGUCAAUUCCCCUUUCCCUUCUCUCCUCUGUUUCCCAGUCCCCAUCUUUUACUAUACUGGUUAGUCUCCCUUCUUUAUUCAUGAACGUCUUUUUUUUUUCCCUUUUUUUUUUUUCUGUUGUCUACAUGUGAGAUAAAACACAUGCCCUUUACCUUCUGAAUCUGGCUUAUUUUACUUGACAUAAUAUUCUCCAGUUCAGUCCAUUUUCCUGAAAAUUAUAUAAUUUUGUGCUUCUUUAUGACUGGGUGUUGCUGUUGAGAUAUUCUACGCCCCCCUUCCCCCGAAAAAUAAAACAUCAUGUGGUAGGCAAUGUUGGAAUGUUCAGAAGUGAGAUGAUUAGAUUAUGAGAGCUGUAACCACAUCACUGGAUUAGUCUAUUUCACAGAUUCAUAAUCUGAAUGCACUACUAGGCUGUGGGGUGUGACUAAAGGAAGUACUCUUGGGAUAUGCCCUUGGACUAUAUUUUGUUCUCUUUUUUUGUUGUUGUUGUUCUGUUUCUUCACUGCCAUGAAAUCAGUAGCCUCUUCUACCAUGCUCUUCCUGCAUGAUGUUCUGUCUCAUCUCAGGUUGAGAGCAAUGGAGUUGGCCAACCAAGGAAAGAUCCCCAAAUUAACUUUUCCUCCUCUAAGUUGUUUUUCCAGGUAUUUUGGUCAAAACAUUGAAAAGCUGACCAACACACUAUGUAAAUCUCCAUUUCAUUCAUAUAUAUAUAUAUAUAUAUAUAUAUAUAUAUAUAUAUGAAUAAACAAAAUGGUAUAUAUAUAUACUUUGUUUAUUCAUUUUGUUUAUUCAUUUUUUUUUUGUUGAUGGACACCUAAGUUGGUAUCAUAACUUGGCUAUUGUCAAUUGCACUGUCAUAAACAUGGGUAUGUAUGUAUCACUAUAGUGUUCUGACUUCAGUGCUUUUGAAUAAAUACCUAGGAAUGAUAUAGCUGGGAAAAGUGCCAAUUCCAUACUUAGUAUUUUGAGAACCUCCACACUGAUUUCCACUGUGACUGUACUAAUUUACAAUCCAUUUUGUGACUUUCUAGACUUCAGUAAGAAGUUUUUAGUUUUAUUCUCUACAAAAAAUCUGGGUGUUUAGCAUUCAUAUGGUCUCACAUCCUUGAGGAAUGUGAUGAUUAUAUCAGCCUUGUUUCCCAUUGUAUGAAAAAAAAAAACCUGUUGGAAAAAAUUGGAUUUUGAACAUAUUCAAUAUGUUGACUUCUGGUGAUCACAAUAAUGGUAAUAAAAAGUGAGAUUUUCAAAUGCCUUCUGAGUCAAUAAAGAUUUUAAUUACAUAUAUAUGCAUAUAUAUUAAUCAAAAUGAUAUGAAAAUUUAAAAUUUAGAGCUGAUAUUUAAUGUGUACAUGUCCAUGUGUAAUGCACUUGACUAUUUGUGUUAAACUGUCACAUCUUUAAUAUUUCACAUUUAUGGAUUGUCAUAAAUUUUGUGAAAUUAGAAGGGAAAGCAUUACAUCUGUUCAGUUUUACGAAAUCUAAAAAUAAAAUACAAUGAUGGUGUAAUAUCUAAAAUCGCACAUUUAAUGACAAGCAAAGCUCAGACUCAUAGUUGAAGUUCUUCAGAUAUUAAACCCUGCUCUUUACAAACUAUAUGAUAUUCCUUCUUUGAGAAUACUAGAAGAAAAUUUUGAACAAACAUUUUCAUUUAAGCCCUUGCCAAGUUUAUAUAGAAUCUUCUUUGAUUUAAAUACCCCUACAAUGAUUUAUGUUAAAUUUAAUCUCUGUGGUGAGGUAUCAAGCAUGGAAGAGUAAUCUGUGGUAUUUAAAGAUGGGAGAUUUGGGAGGUAAUUAGGGUUAAAUGAGGUCAACAGAUUUGACCAGUAGCCCAAUGGCACUGCAGUUUUGUAAGAAGAGGAUUCUUGAACUAGGAUGCUCUGUUUUUUUGUGUGAUGCCUUGGCUAUCUGCAGAGUCCUUACCAUGCAAGAAAGACCUUCCCAAUGCAGCCACCUAGGCUUGAACUUUCCGGUCUUUAGAAUUGUGAGUUGAAUAAAAUUUGAUUCUCCAUAAGUUAUUCUACAAUAUUCAGUUAGAGCAACAACAACAACAACAAACAAAUAAACAAAACCAGCCUACAAAAGAGCCUUUACUAAAGAGGAAAAGGAAUUUAAAUUUUAAGAGAAUAAAACAAGAUGCUAAAUUGGUAGACAUAGAAAGAGAUGACAUUCACUAGAGCAAAUAAACACUGAGUAAACACAGAAUUCUGUUACUGUCGUUAAAGGGUUAAAAAUAUUUCUCAGUGCUGAGACUGAGGCUGUGGCUCAGUGGUAAAGGGCUCUCCUGGUGUGUGUGAGGCACUGGGUUCGAUUCUCAGCACCACAUAUAAAUAAAUAAAAGCUUAUCAACAAUUAAAAAUAAAACAAAGUAGCCAAUACUCUUUAAAAAUAUUUCUCAAAAGAAAUUAAGUGCAGAAAAUUAGAAAAAAAGAAAAAAAAUGAAUGAGAGGAGAUAAAUUCAAUUUAUGGAACUAUAAGUGAAAUUUUUAUUAACCUGAAUUACAAUAUAAAUGCAAAUACUAAAUCAACAUAUCCAGUUAGCUAGAGAUUUGCUGCAGGUGGAAAAAGAAAUCCAUCUGACAAGUCCAUACUAAACCUUAUGCCUGUUACUUAGCAUAUAGACAAAAUUAUUCCAAAUAUCAUUAAACUUUCUCCAUCUGCAAAUCUAUUUAUCACAUUUUGUUUUUAUAUAUUCUAUGAAAAAAGUUCCUCAAAGAAAUACCAUAAUCACUCCAUUUCUUAUGUUCUUAGUGUAUUAUUCACUGAAAUACACCAAGAUUAAGUCUAAGCAUAGAAUAAUUAGUUUUCAUGCAUUAUCAAAUUAUUAACUACAUUCCUGACUUCUGGCUAGUGUCAAGUCCUUUCUUCUACUAACAAUGUGGAUACUUCAAGUAGUUGGACGUUAUUAUUACUUAAAUAUUAGGUGUCCCCAAAAAGCACAUGUAUGAGACAAUGCAAGAAAGUUUCGAGGUGAAAUGAUUUGUGUCAUGAGAGCCUAAAUCCUUAAAUAGGGAUUAAUUGGAUGGUAACUGGGCAGGUAGGGGUGGCUGGAGGAGGUGUGUUCCUGGGGGCAUGCCUUUGGCGUAUACAUUUUAUCAUUGUUGAGCACACACCCCUCUUACCCUUUCUCUCUCCCUUUCUCUCCCCAACUCCCUCCUUCCCCGCUCCUCUCCCUUCCUAGUUGUUUUCCCAGCUGUUUUCUUCCAUCGCUCUCUUCUGCCUCACCUCAGGUCCCAGAGAAUGGAGUCAGGUAUCUAUGUUCUAGGGCCUCUGACCCCAUGAGCCCCCCUUCUUCCUCUGUAUGUUCUUGUUAGGUCUUUUGAUCACAAUAGUGAAAAAACUGGCUAAAACAGUUAUACUGGUGCCAGUGGCUAUAUUUGCUUCAGUAAAAGAUUUCCUUCUUUAUUUUAAAGUAAGCUCUCAGAUAAGGGAUAGGCAGUGAUUGUAGUCUUUAUCAAUAUUAAACAAUUAAAAAAAAUUAAGACUUUUUUCUAAAUUAGUUUGGAUAAAGAUUUUAAACUCUCAAGACAUCCACAAAAUUCUAAAACAUUUGAUCAAUCUGAUUUUCCUGCUUUCUCUCAUCUCUGCCACUUCCAAAUACACACAUAAUGGAGUGUUUCUGCAUUUUAUCAUUUUUUAGUAAACACUGGAAGGAAGGCAGUGUAGUACAGGCAAUGAGUGUACAGCAUGUUGGCUUUGAAGAGUUCGAGGGUCCUAUUCUGUCAUUUUCAUCACCAUUUGUCUAGCCAAGGUGUGAAUGCACACUAUCCCAACAUAGUGUGAAUGAUGGAGAGUUAUAGGAGAAGGAAAUUGUGUGAUAGGUUAAGCAAUGGGCAUAUCCCAUAGUAUAGAAAAGAAAAGUUUCUGAAAAAAUAUUAAUGACAAUUUGGAACAGAAUAUACACCAGCAAAGAAUCACACUCAAAAUUGUUAAGGCAGAUAGGCUCUUAGUGACAUCAGAGGAACAGGUAAGCAGGCUGACUAGUCAGGGAGGCAGAGAUGAGAGAAAAGCAAGUGUGAGCAGAUUCCUGGGCUCCCAUGCUUCUUUGCAUCCCUAUUUUACUCUCUCCAUCCAUGUCAAGGCCACCUCCCAUGAUUCAGAUUUCUUCCUUGCUUCUCCUACUUACAUAUUUGUCAGUUACUUGCCCCAUUCUCUUAGCAAUCACAUUCUUUGACACUAGUAAUUAGAUCAGUUAAUUUACUAAGCAACACCAGUGGUUGAAGCUAACUCACUGCCUCUUCCUGACAGAGUGCAUUUGUAACACACUCCACAUGUGCACACUCACAUUUCACCUAUGUAUGUACAGGACCACGGUGCAUUUGUCUGGAGCAGGCAGGCAGGCAGGCAGGAAGUGAAAUACUUUAGGAAAAAAGGUUUGCUCUUCUCCAGUGAAUGCCCAUCUUCUGCUAAUGGGUACUGAGAGGUAUUUGUCUCAUCCCAGUGAUUCAGCUGUGACUGGAGAGAAAGAGAUUGAUAAAGGAGGGAAGGAAAUGCCAUGGGGAAAUGCAGCAGAUAGGGCUCAAACUUUGGGGGCCAAGUAGAGUUUCUGCAGGUUUAUUGAUUUUCUUUUUGAAAUACUAUUUGAAAGGCUUCUCUCAAAGUUCAUGAGUGAGGACAUUUUUAAGCAAGACUGUGGCAAAGACAUGUUUAUGGUUGACACUGUGUCAUUUCCCAGUUUAUGGUACCCAUUUGGGGAAUAUGUUUAUACCCUUCUUAGUGCUGGCAUUUACCAAGCAAAGAUGCCACUUGGAAAGGGUGAUUUAUUUUUUGCACCAUUAUAUUUUGAAAGACUUUCAGGUUACAAGAACCCUUUGAAGUUAAAGCCCGUGAUGUUAAGAUUAAUAACAGUAAUUAUAGGGCUCUGUAAUAGUAGAAAAAUCUGUAGCUUGCCUUUGAGAUUGAAUAUGAAAGGUUCCAGGUCCAAGGGAGUAAUAAAAGCUUUUUCUUUCUGCAAGGACAGCCAGGAACAGGAAGAAGUUUCUUCCUGGAAAAUACACAGGGGUGUUGAAUGUUCAAGUUUUUCUGAAGAUAAGGUGAUCCUCUGUAACCUGGCCCCAGGGACUACUUUAGGUCAUAAUCACUUUUGUUUGAUCUUUUUUGUUUUGCUUUGUUUAUAAUGUCAAUGCUCACCUGGGAAAUUAGGAUUGUUUUGACCCUUUCUCCCUUGCUGCAUACUUCAAAGUGUGCUCUGAUUUAAAAUGUUCUUCCUGGUAGCUGUGGAGAAAAUUGUCCCCCUAAAAAACCCUUUAAGUUCUUGUGAUAAUGAGAAAUGGCCAAAUUAAAUACUAUUCUAAUGAUUUUCUCCCAUUCACUAAACUUUUUAGGAAGCCCUUUGAGAGGAAGGAGAGGAAAAAGUAUAUGAUAAAUGAGGUGGAAAAAUUAGUGGGAAGUAAGUGAUAAUGAAUGAACAAGGGGUGAAGGGGAAAAUAUAAGCAAAAAGGUGAAGAAUAGCUUGGAAAAAUAAAGAGGUGGAAAUUGUGUAAGAAAUAAAGAAAUGAAGAGAGAAAAAAAGCAAGACACAGACAGGAAGAAGAAGUGAAAGAGGAGGUGGGCAAUUCUUUUCUCUUUUUUUUCACAGUCUUCACACAAAAGAAGAACUGAAAUUCAAGCUCAAAUAUAGAAUCUGAGCAUUGCAUCACCCACAAUCUAUAACAGGAAAAGAUAUAUUUGGAAAUGUACAAACAGAAAGUUUGUGCUUGAUAGUAUUCCUCAGACUGCAUAAGAAAAACAAUAAUGCCAGGUCUCAAGUGUAGAAAGACAUGGGGAAGCCUGAACCUGGGAAGUCACACAGGGCACACAAUGACUUGGGAAUACUUUGUCCUCUCCUUAGGGGACUCUGGAAUCCCUCAUGGGCAUGUACCUCAUCUGGAGAACUUUUGUAUCUACAUACUCUUUCCCUUGUCCUUGUAAGUCUAUCUUUAAUCUUUCCAUUCUUUCUUUUUAUAAAAAAUUCUUCUCCGUUUUUUUCCUUCUUAAAAAAUCUAUGAUAGAUCGAAUUAUGUUUUCCAAUUCCUCACCCCUCUCCCCCCACCCCAUAUCCACACCCUUUUCCAUGUAAUGUUUAAAUUCUUCCCACUAGUUGCAAGAUGUGCCCACUUCUACCCAUUGACUUUGGGCUUGGUCAUGACGAGGAUGUCAACAGAUAUGAUGCAAGUGGUUUAGAAAUGCUUCUUGGGCCUACGCUCUUGUGCUUCUGCUGAUGCCAUGAGAGGAAUGUGUCUCAAUUAUUUUCCAAGGUCUCAAUAAAUGAAAAACAUUUAGACUAGAUAUAAAGAAGACAGGUAGAAUGGAGUGAAACCCAGAAGAAUUCAGCAACCAAGGUCAGCAAAAAUAUUCUAGUCAAACCACAGCUGCAUGAACAGAAAAUAAUUGCUCAUUAUUUCAGGUAGUAAAAUUUUGGGAAAGUUGUUGCAAUAUAGUAUUUUUUAAAAAUGCUGUUUUGACCCAGUUUUAAGAUUCUGGCUAUAGGCAAGUCAGUUCCCCUUCUUGAACAGUUAAUGAAGUCCACGUCCUACCCAUUUCCUUUAAUGGACUUUCACAUGCAUCCCCUCUAAUCACUGUGGGAUCAGGCACUUGAUAACUAGGACCAUCCCAGAGAUCACAGAAAUUAUUCCAAUUAGUCAAUCCACCAAAGCUUGAAAACCUAACUGUACAUUACUUGCCUUAGAUAAGUGGUUUCCCCAAAGCUCCAGCUUACAGUUCCCCUGUGCUCUUUUAUCUAUCCAAAUAUCUGUGUGCUGUGGCCCACCAUCAAACAGUUCUUUAAAUCUUAAAAAACAGUUGUUAUGAAAUAUUAUUGAAGCAAUAUAUGCCUGAAAUAGCCACUCACUUUAAAACACUUAGGAUAAAACCACACUUCUCAGCAUCAUUGGAUAGUAUAGCAAAUCACUAUGCCCUUUUCUGCCCUUGAUCUCACACACCUUUCCUAUCAUGUUGUUUGAUGUGUGAAGUGAUAACAAUGUUUGGUUGAAUUAAAUAAAAGGAAGUUUGAAAUAAUCAUAGAACUUUAUAGAUAUUGGGAGAGACAGAAAAGCAAUUUAAUUCCUUUCAACUAAUAACAUAAACCCAUUACUUCCCUUUCUUUCUUCUAACUGUUCUUUCUAUGGUAUUAGGUAAAGAAAGACCACAGAGUUUGAGAAUAUGACUUUAUUUCACCUAUUCUUUCAUAAGUUACAGUACUAUUGGCAUGACACUCAUUUUGAGUUCCUGUUUUCUAAUGAAGUAAUCAUGAAAAGUCUUUAUAAAAGCAAGGGAUAUACAAUUGAUAUUUAGAGAUGUGAAUUAAUAAGACAAUGCUUUUAAGAGUUUCAUCAAUUUCAAAAUAGUUCAUUAACUAUUUACAAUUAUGAUUAGUAUGUUAGUCAUAAAGUUGUAAAUGUGAGUGCUUCAUAAACUAGAGCUUCUAUCUUACAAUAAGAAAUUUCCAACUAAUUGAAGCACCCAUCUAGUAACAAAUGUCAAACAGCCUAAUAUGUUUGCCAUAAACCCAGGAAGAUCUGACAACUGAAGAGGUUUUUUGUCAGGAAAAAUUCUCCAUCCACUUGCUAUCUCAUAAUUUCAUAUGACCUUAUGUUGAGUCUCUGAAGAAAGACAAAAGUGAAAUAUGAAAUUUGGAAGAACUUGGAUGGAGUAUCUUGGUUGAAAUUUUGAUUUCCCCUAUCACUAUUUGAUGGCUCAGAAUUACAUCAUUCAUGCAUGUGAAGGCAUUCAGCUUAAAUUUUUCUUCCUUUCUUUCUUUCUUUCCUUCUUUCUUUCUUUCUUUUUUUAAGGUACACAUGUCUUCUAUGUAUUCAGAACUCAAAGAAAGAAUAGUCACAUACUUCAGUGGAAUAGUUUGGCAGGAAAGUAAAUGCAAUUUGUACUGAGAUAUUCUAUGCUUUGAAUUCUGGUUAUGCUAUUUGCUACUUUUACUACUGUAGGAAAUUCACAUAACUUCUUUGAAUAUAAUUUUUCUCAUUUAUAAAUUAGGAUAUUAAUUUCAACAUCAAGGAAUUAUUGAAGUUAGUAAGGGUCACAGAGAAAAAUAUUGAAUCCAUCUUCUGACACAUAGUAAGUGCUUAGAUCUUUAUAGUAUCUAAAAAGGCAAUGAUAAAGGAGAGCAACAAAUAGAGAAGAUGAAAUUAAAAAGAGAAGGAUUAGUGUUGUUACAUCAUCUCUCUGAUAACUCAACAAGAAUGGAAAAUUAUCUGUCUCUUAUUAAUUCUUUAACCACUUGAUUAUUCAACAUUUUUGAUACCAAUCAUGUCCUUGGCAGUGUGGAAGUCACUGAUGCAGUUACAAAGAUAUAUGACAUCUAUGAGGCCAUUAAUAACAUCUCCUUCCAGGAAGAGAUGAGGCACUAUUACACAUAACUAUAAGUCAAAAUUUCCCAACAAGCUCACCAUCAGAAAUCUAUUUACAUGAGACCCAGGGGUCUAUUUUCAAGUUAGUUUAAAUACAUGCACAGAGGACUCCUCAUUCACCCUUGAAAAUUCACAAAUUGAGGCUUCUCUGAGUGCUUCCUGUGCAAUUGGUAGGGAACAAGGAUCCAUUGUUCUAAGCGAAUUUUCCUCUUCGAUGACUUGUGAGACUACUGUUGCACACAACACCUUUUGCAAAAUGCUUCUAAAAUGAAGGUAGAAAGUGAUAAGCAACAUAAGGAAAGAUCAUUCAUAGGAUGUUGAUGUGGGAGAAAUUACAUCUUUUCCAGGGAAGAGACUGGAAGGAUUACGGACAAAAGAGCCACUUUAGAGUGAGACUUAAAACAUGAUUAGGGACUGCAGAAGUAGAAACUGCAUAGAGAAAUUACUAAAUUAAAAGGAGACAUGAAGUUUAUAAAAUCUACACAUAAAUGGAUUUAUGUGCCAAGUAAGGGUAAAAUGAAGUGAUUUCUGAAAUGAUCAACUCAAAAUGUUUUUAAUUCUGAAAAUCACGAGUUUAUUCCAUCAGCUCUGAAAAACUGCUGACGAUUUUGAGCAGGAAAGACCAUUGACCUGAAUUAUGUUUGGGAAGAUCAAUCCAGCAGUUGUAUAUAGAACAUAUUAGAAAAAGAGAAAAGUAGCAGGUAUACAACUUGCAAAGAAUCAUGAAUAAGUACAAUGAUCAUCCCUUCUUUUCCACCAACUGAGAUGCCAUUCAAAUUCCUCCUCCUGCUCUCCCAAGAAAGAGAAGGCCUUCAUUAUAGACCUGGAAGAAGGAUGGGCCUGAGUUUAUUUACCUGACCUUCAGAGGAAUUCAGUCUAGAAUUUACUAUAUGUCUCAUAGUGAAGACAUUGACUGUUAUAACUUUUCUCUCCAAAAAUUACUGGCAUAAUAAAAAAUAUUGAUAAAGUUUAUCAAGACAUAUAAAGGAUAUUUUCAUGUUAUUUUGAAACAAAUCACAUAUGCAAAUUAAGGAUAUUUAUGGAAUGAGAAGAACAUUAGCAAUAUGAAGUAUGCUUCUUAGUUUCUGGGAGAACCCAUUUCCUUUUGUAAAAUAAUGGUGACAAUUAUAUACACCUUCAUAAUUAUAGUUAUUUUCUAUUGAGUGCAUUUCAAGCAUUAGGACUUAUUCAUGGUGCCUAAUAUUUAUUAUUGCAUUCGAAUUUUAAAAUACCAAUGAGGCUAAAGUUUCACAUGAGGUUAAGCUGAGAUUGGGAUGUGUUACAAAAAAGCACUCUUGACACGGUCUCAGCAAACUAUAGAAUAAUUGCAGAAUAGGACUCAGUUGUUGCCUAGAAGAACAAAGCACUUAUUCUGAGCUUUUUAGUAUUAAAUAAUACUAGAUUCUCCAGUAAGGAAUUUACCCCACUGCUUAGGCUCAAAGUCUAAGAAAGUCUUCCUUUUCCUUUUAAAAAAUGUUUUUCUGAGCUAAUAUCUUGCAAGAAGCAUUAUUAUCUUUCAACACUGAAUCUGCCUGUUACACCAAUGUGACAUUUGUUUACCAACUUCAGUAUGCAUCCAUCAUGAAAAUAAGAUUGGAAUCAACCAAAGUGCCCAUUUACAGGAGAAUGGAUGAAAAAAAAUGGUCUAUACACACAUACACAAACACAAACACACACACAUACACACACAUACACACACAUACACAUUAUGGAAUAUAUUUAUAUUGAAGAAUAUGAUCCUGCCAUUUUAAAUAACGAAUGGAUAGUCAUUAUGUUUAGUAUAAUAAAGCAGAUACAGGAAGACAGAUACCACAUGUUCUCACUCAUUUGAGCAAACUAAAAAGUCAGUCAUUCAGAAGGUGGAGUGGAAAGGUGGACACAAAGAUUCGAAGGGCAGGGAAAGUAGAACAGGAAGAGGUUAGAUAAAUGGCACCAAACCAGUUGGACUGGUGGAAUUAGUUUUGAUUUUCUAUACCACACUAACGUAACUAUUGUCUAUAUAAAUCUAUGGAAUAGUUAAAAAAAACUAGAAAAGCAAUACAUUUAUCAACACAUGGAAAUGAUUAAUAUUUGAGGAGAUGAAAGUGCCUAGUACUCUAAUUUAAUCAUUACACAUUGUGCACAUAUAUCAAAUUUUAUAUCAUACUCCAUAAAUAUGUACAAAUAUUAUGUCUCAAUAAAAGUAAAUUUAAAAUACCAUAAGUUUUUUUUUAAAGUGGCUCUUUUGUCCGUAAUCCUUCCAGUCUCUUCCCUGGAAAAGAUGUAAUUUCUCCCACAUCAACAUCCUAUGAAUGAUCUUUCCUUAUGUUGCUUAUCACUUUCUACCUUCAUUUUAGAAGCAUUUUGCAAAAGGUGUUGUGUGCAACAGUAGUCUCACAAGUCAUCGAAGAGGAAAAUUCGCUUAGAACAAUGGAUCCUUGUUCCCUACCAAUUGCACAGGAAGCACUCAGAGAAGCCUCAAUUUGUGAAUUUUCAAGGGUGAAUGAGGAGUCCUCUGUGCAUGUAUUUAAACUAACUUGAAAAUAGACCCCUGGGUCUCAUGUAAAUAGAUUUCUGAUGGUGAGCUUGUUGGGAAAUUUUGACUUAUAGUUAUGUGUAAUAGUGCCUCAUCUCUUCCUGGAAGGAGAUGUUAUUAAUGGCCUCAUAGAUGUCAUAUAUCUUUGUAACUGCAUCAGUGACUUCCACACUGCCAAGGACAUGAUUGGUAUCAAAAAUGUUGAAUAAUCAAGUGGUUAAAGAAUUAAUAAGAGACAGAUAAUUUUCCAUUCUUGUUGAGUUAUCAGAGAGAUGAUGUAACAACACUAAUCCUUCUCUUUUUAAUUUCAUCUUCUCUAUUUGUUGCUCUCCUUUAUCAUUGCCUUUUUAGAUACUAUAAAGAUCUAAGCACUUACUAUGUGUCAGAAGAUGGAUUCAAUAUUUUUCUCUGUGACCCUUACUAACUUCAAUAAUUCCUUGAUGUUGAAAUUAAUAUCCUAAUUUAUAAAUGAGAAAAAUUAUAUUCAAAGAAGUUAUGUGAAUUUCCUACAGUAGUAAAAGUAGCAAAUAGCAUAACCAGAAUUCAAAGCAUAGAAUAUCUCAGUACAAAUUGCAUUUACUUUCCUGCCAAACUAUUCCACUGAAGUAUGUGACUAUUCUUUCUUUGAGUUCUGAAUACAUAGAAGACAUGUGUACCUUAAAAAAAGAAAGAAAGAAAGAAGGAAAGAAAGAAAGAAAGGAAGAAAAAUUUAAGCUGAAUGCCUUCACAUGCAUGAAUGAUGUAAUUCUGAGCCAUCAAAUAGUGAUAGGGGAAAUCAAAAUUUCAACCAAGAUACUCCAUCCAAGUUCUUCCAAAUUUCAUAUUUCACUUUUGUCUUUCUUCAGAGACUCAACAUAAGGUCAUAUGAAAUUAUGAGAUAGCAAGUGGAUGGAGAAUUUUUCCUGACAAAAAACCUCUUCAGUUGUCAGAUCUUCCUGGGUUUAUGGCAAACAUAUUAGGCUGUUUGACAUUUGUUACUAGAUGGGUGCUUCAAUUAGUUGGAAAUUUCUUAUUGUAAGAUAGAAGCUCUAGUUUAUGAAGCACUCACAUUUACAACUUUAUGACUAACAUACUAAUCAUAAUUGUAAAUAGUUAAUGAACUAUUUUGAAAUUGAUGAAACUCUUAAAAGCAUUGUCUUAUUAAUUCACAUCUCUAAAUAUCAAUUGUAUAUCCCUUGCUUUUAUAAAGACUUUUCAUGAUUACUUCAUUAGAAAACAGGAACUCAAAAUGAGUGUCAUGCCAAUAGUACUGUAACUUAUGAAAGAAUAGGUGAAAUAAAGUCAUAUUCUCAAACUCUGUGGUCUUUCUUUACCUAAUACCAUAGAAAGAACAGUUAGAAGAAAGAAAGGGAAGUAAUGGGUUUAUGUUAUUAGUUGAAAGGAAUUAAAUUGCUUUUCUGUCUCUCCCAAUAUCUAUAAAGUUCUAUGAUUAUUUCAAACUUCCUUUUAUUUAAUUCAACCAAACAUUGUUAUCACUUCACACAUCAAACAACAUGAUAGGAAAGGUGUGUGAGAUCAAGGGCAGAAAAGGGCAUAGUGAUUUGCUAUACUAUCCAAUGAUGCUGAGAAGUGUGGUUUUAUCCUAAGUGUUUUAAAGUGAGUGGCUAUUUCAGGCAUAUAUUGCUUCAAUAAUAUUUCAUAACAACUGUUUUUUAAGAUUUAAAGAACUGUUUGAUGGUGGGCCACAGCACACAGAUAUUUGGAUAGAUAAAAGAGCACAGGGGAACUGUAAGCUGGAGCUUUGGGGAAACCACUUAUCUAAGGCAAGUAAUGUACAGUUAGGUUUUCAAGCUUUGGUGGAUUGACUAAUUGGAAUAAUUUCUGUGAGCUCUGGGAUGGUCCUAGUUAUCAAGUGCCUGAUCCCACAGUGAUUAGAGGGGAUGCAUGUGAAAGUCCAUUAAAGGAAAUGGGUAGGACGUGGACUUCAUUAACUGUUCAAGAAGGGGAACUGACUUGCCUAUAGCCAGAAUCUUAAAACUGGGUCAAAACAGCAUUUUUAAAAAAUACUAUAUUGCAACAACUUUCCCAAAAUUUUACUACCUGAAAUAAUGAGCAAUUAUUUUCUGUUCAUGCAGCUGUGGUUUGACUAGAAUAUUUUUGCUGACCUUGGUUGCUGAAUUCUUCUGGGUUUCACUCCAUUCUACCUGUCUUCUUUAUAUCUAGUCUAAAUGUUUUUCAUUUAUUGAGACCUUGGAAAAUAAUUGAGACACAUUCCUCUCAUGGCAUCAGCAGAAGCACAAGAGCGUAGGCCCAAGAAGCAUUUCUAAACCACUUGCAUCAUAUCUGUUGACAUCCUCGUCAUGACCAAGCCCAAAGUCAAUGGGUAGAAGUGGGCACAUCUUGCAACUAGUGGGAAGAAUUUAAACAUUACAUGGAAAAGGGUGUGGAUAUGGGGUGGGGGGAGAGGGGUGAGGAAUUGGAAAACAUAAUUCGAUCUAUCAUAGAUUUUUUAAGAAGGAAAAAAACGGAGAAGAAUUUUUUAUAAAAAGAAAGAAUGGAAAGAUUAAAGAUAGACUUACAAGGACAAGGGAAAGAGUAUGUAGAUACAAAAGUUCUCCAGAUGAGGUACAUGCCCAUGAGGGAUUCCAGAGUCCCCUAAGGAGAGGACAAAGUAUUCCCAAGUCAUUGUGUGCCCUGUGUGACUUCCCAGGUUCAGGCUUCCCCAUGUCUUUCUACACUUGAGACCUGGCAUUAUUGUUUUUCUUAUGCAGUCUGAGGAAUACUAUCAAGCACAAACUUUCUGUUUGUACAUUUCCAAAUAUAUCUUUUCCUGUUAUAGAUUGUGGGUGAUGCAAUGCUCAGAUUCUAUAUUUGAGCUUGAAUUUCAGUUCUUCUUUUGUGUGAAGACUGUGAAAAAAAAGAGAAAAGAAUUGCCCACCUCCUCUUUCACUUCUUCUUCCUGUCUGUGUCUUGCUUUUUUUCUCUCUUCAUUUCUUUAUUUCUUACACAAUUUCCACCUCUUUAUUUUUCCAAGCUAUUCUUCACCUUUUUGCUUAUAUUUUCCCCUUCACCCCUUGUUCAUUCAUUAUCACUUACUUCCCACUAAUUUUUCCACCUCAUUUAUCAUAUACUUUUUCCUCUCCUUCCUCUCAAAGGGCUUCCUAAAAAGUUUAGUGAAUGGGAGAAAAUCAUUAGAAUAGUAUUUAAUUUGGNNNNNNNNNNNNNNNNNNNNNNNNNNNNNNNNNNNNNNNNNNNNNNNNNNNNNNNNNNNNNNNNNNNNNNNNNNNNNNNNNNNNNNNNNNNNNNNNNNNNNNNNNNNNNNNNNNNNNNNNNNNNNNNNNNNNNNNNNNNNNNNNNNNNNNNNNNNNNNNNNNNNNNNNNNNNNNNNNNNNNNNNNNNNNNNNNNNNNNNNNNNNNNNNNNNNNNNNNNNNNNNNNNNNNNNNNNNNNNNNNNNNNNNNNNNNNNNNNNNNNNNNNNNNNNNNNNNNNNNNNNNNNNNNNNNNNNNNNNNNNNNNNNNNNNNNNNNNNNNNNNNNNNNNNNNNNNNNNNNNNNNNNNNNNNNNNNNNNNNNNNNNNNNNNNNNNNNNNNNNNNNNNNNNNNNNNNNNNNNNNNNNNNNNNNNNNNNNNNNNNNNNNNNNNNNNNNNNNNNNNNNNNNNNNNNNNNNNNNNNNNNNNNNNNNNNNNNNNNNNNNNNNNNNNNNNNNNNNNNNNNNNNNNNNNNNNNNNNNNNNNNNNNNNNNNNNNNNNNNNNNNNNNNNNNNNNNNNNNNNNNNNNNNNNNNNNNNNNNNNNNNNNNNNNNNNNNNNNNNNNNNNNNNNNNNNNNNNNNNNNNNNNNNNNNNNNNNNNNNNNNNNNNNNNNNNNNNNNNNNNNNNNNNNNNNNNNNNNNNNNNNNNNNNNNNNNNNNNNNNNNNNNNNNNNNNNNNNNNNNNNNNNNNNNNNNNNNNNNNNNNNNNNNNNNNNNNNNNNNNNNNNNNNNNNNNNNNNNNNNNNNNNNNNNNNNNNNNNNNNNNNNNNNNNNNNNNNNNNNNNNNNNNNNNNNNNNNNNNNNNNNNNNNNNNNNNNNNNNNNNNNNNNNNNNNNNNNNNNNNNNNNNNNNNNNNNNNNNNNNNNNNNNNNNNNNNNNNNNNNNNNGGGUGGACCAAUGGUACAGAAUAGAGGACACAGAGACUAAUCCACAAAGCUACAACUAUCUUAUAUUUGAUAAAGGAGCUAAAAGCAUGCAAUGGAGGAAGGAUAGCAUCUUCAACAAAUGGUGCUGGGAAAACUGGAAAUCCAUAUGCAACAAAAUGAAACUGAAUCCCCUCCUCUCGCCAUGCACAAAAGUUAACUCAAAGUGGAUCAAGGAGCUAGAUAUCAAAUCAGAGACUCUGCGUCUGAUAGAAGAAAAAGUUGGCUCCGAUCUACAUAUUGUGGGGUCGGGCUCCAAAUUCCUUAAUAGGACACCCAUAGCACAAAAGUUAAUAACAAGAAUCAACAAAUGGGACUUACUUAAACUGAAAAGUUUUUUCUCAGCAAGAGAAACAAUAAGAGAGGUAAAUAGGGAGCCUACAUCAUGGGAACAAAUUUUUACUCCUCACACUUCAGAUAGAGCCCUAAUAUCCAGAGUAUACAAAGAACUCAAAAAAUUAAACAAUAAGAAAACAAAUAACCCAAUCAACAAAUGGGCCAAGGACCUGAACAGACACUUCUCAGAGGAGGACAUACAAUCAAUCAACAAGUACAUGAAAAAAUGCUCACCAUCUCUAGCAGUCAGAGAAAUGCAAAUCAAAACCACCCUAAGAUACCAUCUCACUCCAGUAAGAUUGGCAGCCAUUAUGAAGUCAAACAACAACAAGUGCUGGAGAGGAUGUGGGGAAAAGGGUACUCUUGUACAUUGCUGGUGGGACUGCAAACUGGGGCAGCCAAUUUGGAAAGCAGUAUGGAGAUUCCUGGGAAAGCUGGGAAUGGAACCUCCAUUUGACCCAGCUAUUGCCCUUCUCGGACUAUUCCCUGAAGACCUUAAAAGAGCAGGGAUACUGCUACAUCGAUGUUCAUAGCAGCACAAUUCACAAUUUCUAGACUGUGGAACCAACCCAGAUGCCCUUCAAUAGAUGAAUGGAUAAAAAAAAAUGUGGCAUUUAUACACAAUGGAGUAUUAUACAGCACUAAAAAAUGACAAAAUCAUGGAAUUUGCAGGGAAAUGGAUGGCACUAGAGCAGAUUAUGCUUAGUGAAGCUAGCCAAUCCCUAAAAAACAAAUACCAAAGGUCUUCUUUGAUAUAAUGAGAGCAACUAAGAACAAAGCAGGGAGGAAGAGCACGAAGAAAAGAUUAACAUUAAACAGAUACAUGAGGUGGGAGGGAAAGGGAGAGAAAAGGGAAAUUGCAUGGUAAUGGAGGGAGACCCACAUGGUUAUACAACAUUACAUAUAAGAGGUUGUGAGGGGAAGGGGAAAAUAAACAAGGAGAGAAAUGAAUUACAGUAGAUGGGGUAGAGAGAGAAGAUGGGAGGGGAGGGGAGGGGAAAUAAUACAGGAUAGGAAAGGUAGCAGAAUACAACAGUUACUAAUAGGGCAUUAUGUAAAAAUGUGGAUGUGUAACCGAUGUGAUUCUGCAAUCUGUAUUUGGGGUAAAAUUGGGAGUUCAAAACCCACUUGAAUCAAAUGUAUGAAAUAUGAUAUGUCAAGAGCUUUGUAAUGUUUUGAACAACCAAUAAAAAAAAAAAACUUAAAAAAAAAUCAGAACACUUAAGUUAGAGAUGGCCUGAAUUUAGGCAAGAGUUGGGACAUGCAUUUAUACUCAUGCAUAGGUAGUGACUGUUCAGAGAUGAAGCAAGACAUCUUCCUUUGGUCAUGAAAAAUUACUGAGGAGGAUUCAGCUUUGAGAAGCCUAUAGGAAAUGCUUAGGAAACUGGAAAGUCAGUCUUGGGUACUGAAGAUAUAUCUGGGUAGCCUACCAGAAUAUCCAAUUUUAGCACUCACUAACGGUUUAACUGCACAUGAACCUCCAGUUCAGAUAUUUUUUUUCUAGGAUAAUUGGAUCUAUUGUUAAUUAGAGGUUUAAUUUUAUUUUCUCUUUUUUUUUUCUUUUUUCUUCUCCCUUUCCCUCUCUGUUCCUUUUUUUAAAAAAAAUAACUUUUUGUUUUUAUUUUCUUCUAUUUGUCUGCCCCUUGGAAUAUCUUCAUUUUUUCCUUUUAUCAGCUUUGUUUUCUUCAUUUACUUUUAGUUAUUUUUAUUAAUUUUUACUGCUGGCUUUCCUCAUAUCAAGACCUCCUCCAUUCACUAUAUUUAAUAAUGUAGGUUUCCUCUGUCAUUAUUUAAGUGGCUCUUUUUAUUUAUUUAUUUUUUUAUUUAUUUAAGUGGCUCUUUUUAAUGGUGAGUUUCUCUUUGUCACAUGAAAACUGGCUAUAGACCAUGUCUACUUGAACAGAACAUGUUAAAAUGGCACAUUUUAUCUAAAGAGGAGUUGAACAAUAGGAAUAUAACUCAAGCCACACGUUCAAGUUAAAAUUUUCUGAUAGCCACAUUAUAUUUCCAUAUAUAAACAUAUAUGCACAUAGGUAUAGACAUAUAUCUGUAUAUAUGAAUACAUGUAUAUGUAAAAUUGCAUUUCAUAAUGUAAUCAAUUUACUAAACUGUUAAUGAGAUGUUUUAUAUUAUCAUUUUCAUUUUAAAUUUUCAAAAUCAAAUGUAUAUUUCACAUUAGCAGGAUAUCUCAAUUCAUAUUACUCAACAGAAACUCAAUAGCUACAUGUUAUUAAGGGCCACUAUAUUUAACAGAAUAGAUCUGAUGCCAGGAUGCAGGCCUGUCAAAACACCAAAUGAUGUUGCUUUAGUCUUGGGUACCAGAAGGUUUAGCUCUAUUUGGAUAAUUUUAAAUUUGUUUAGAAAAUAUUUGGCAGACUUUUACUGUUGGGAUGCCUGCUUGUUUAUAAGUGGGAACCACUAAAGCUAUUUCUCAUGUAGACUUUUAAUUCAUCAUCUCAUUUCAGGUUCAUAUCUCCUUGCUUCAUUCUGUACCUGCUGAUUCAAUCAUCUUGAAGCAUGGAUGUUAACAUCCUUUCUUAGGAUUAUUAUAUUAUUACAUUUCUAACUUUUUUACUUUAAACCUUAUCCUUUCCAGAACCAAUAAUAAAGACUGGGCAAACAUCACUGUUUGAAAUCAUAAAUCUGGUAAUUUAUCACCCUGAUUAAAAUGUUCACAAAUAUUUGUAUUGGCCAUAUAAUAGAUUACAAAUGCUGUCUGUGACUUACAUUGGUCACCAUCCAACAGAGACAUAAAAAGUGAAAGGAUGGUGGAAUGAGAUGGACAUUAUUACCCUGUAUACAUGUAUGAUUUCCCUACCAGUGUAACUCUGCACCAUGUACAGCCAAAGGAAUGAGAAAUUGUGCUCCAUUUGUGUACAAUGGGUAAAAAUGCAUUCUACUCCCAUGUACCACUAAUUUAAACAAAUAAAAAAAAAAAGAAAUGCAAAGAAAAGCCACAAAUUAUAAAUCGAGCAAUAACAGAGGAUUUAAAGUAAUUAUAACAGUUAUGAAAAUUAAAAUUCCAUUGGUGGAAAUAAUAAUGAUGAUGAAAAGAACUUGUUAAAUAUCUUAUAUACCAAUAGAUAUCUUUUCUAUCACUGUUUUGUUCUUGAAUAUAUAGCUAUUACAUUUUAUAGAUUAAAUCAUCUGAGAAACAGAUAUACUAAAUAACUUUCCUGAAGUCAGAGAAUCAGAAAGCAGAUAAGAAUUCUGGUAUAUUUAAUCUUCUCUCACAUGUUCCUAAUUCAAUAGCACGUUAGUCGGCUUUCCAUUAUUACACCAAAAUAACUUAAAAAGAGCAGUGAUUUAUUUUGGUUAAAAAUUUUGGUUUUAGUCCACGUUCAAUUGGUCUCAUUGCUUUUGGACUACAGUAGGGGCAGCACAUCAUGGAAAGCAUGAAUGAUGGAAGACACUGCUCACCUCAUGGUGGCUGGAAAACAGAGAUAGGAAGGGACAGAAGUCAUAUCCCAUCAGAGGCACUGCCAGCAAUGACUGAAUUUCCUCCCAUUAGGACCACUUCCUAAAGUUUCUAGCAUCUCCACCAUGAGCAAGACCAAACUUUAACACAUGGGUUUUUGGGAGACACUUUUUCAAGCCAUAGAAAAUGUUUUGACACCAAAUACUGCCACAGGCUUCAUGAAAACAAGAUGUUUUUAUUGUGAUUGGAAAUAUAUAUAUAUAUAUAUAUAUAUAUAUAUAUAUAUAUAUAUAUAUAUAUAUAUAUAUAUUUUAAGUUUUUUCGUGUUUUGGAAUUUGACAAUUUGACAUGUUCAAUUUCCUACCCAUUUCAUUUGAAGGACUCAUAUAAUCUAAUUUAGAAUUAAAUGGUUAUAAGAAGAUUAUCAAGCAUAUAAUCAUAACAGUGGUGCUAGCUCUCCCAGAUUCUUCUUCUAUUUAGUUUAGUCCUCAGCAAAAUAACAACAAAUAUAUAUGUGGGUGAAUCCAUGGUUUCAUUAAUCUGUUCAACUAAUGCUAUGCAGCAUCUACUAUAACCCCACAAGAACAAUAUGCAGAUUUAUUAAUUGAUCCUUGUUAUUUCAGAUCUCCAGGUUAAUAAGAGAGAGAACAUGUUAAAAGGUAAUUACAGCACAAUGUGACACAAAGGAACUAUACAAUUUUAACUGAUGAAAGUAGUUAGAGUUAUUAAAAAGAUGUGGAAAAGACAUUGUUGAGAUAUGAACAAGAUAUGACAUCGUUGAGCUGAAUAGUAAAUAAUACAUAUGUUCCAGCCAUAUAUGAUGGAAAAAGUAUUCCAGAGAUAGUAAACAACAUGCACAAAGAAUGAUUGCAUCAAGCAGCCUGGUGUUAGUUAAUUAAACUGAUGCAACACACAGACAAUAUAAAGAGAGAGGACUUAUGUUAACAUUCAUUCUUUUUGCUUUUAUUUAAUUCAUAUUAAUGUAUAAUUCACAUACCACAAAAUUAAAGACUUAAAAGUGAAAAAAUCAGAGGCAAUUAGUGUAUCACCUCUAUCUGACUCUAAAACAUGUCAAUCAUGAUAAAAUAAAACCCUGUAUUCUCUAAGCCAUUACUUCUCAUUUCUUACUCUGCCUAGUCCCCAAAAACUACCCCUCUGCUUUCUACUUCUACGGAUUUACCUAUCUGGACAUGUCAUAAAAAUAAAAUCAUACAAUUUAUGACAUUUUGAUGUAUAGCUUCUUUUACUUAGCAUGAUGAUUUUGAGGUUAGUUCACAUUAUAACAUAUAUCUGUAUUUUCUUUCUUUUUAUGGCUUAGUAAUAUCUAUUGUACACACAUACUACGAUUUUUCUAUUGAUGGUCAUCAAUGUGUACAACUUAUUCAAGUAUUAGUUCUCAUACCAGUCUUCAAGUACUUUGAUUGUAUACCUAGAAGUGAAAUUUUGGGGUCAUUCUGUUUUACCUUCUGAGGAAUCACUAACCAUUUUCUACAGUGACUGAAACAUUUUCAGUUACCAGUUGGGAUUCUCUUUGCUCAUACAUAGUAGAACACUUUAACAAAAAUGUUUAAAUAGAGAAAUUUAUUGUUCCUUCAUAAAAAUAUAGAGGCAGGUUGGGGAUUAUAUGACAUUCUGCUUUGUUUAGCAAGCCAGUCUUAUUAUUUUCAGAUGUAAACAGACUAUUUUCCACAGCUGCCUAUAUCUGUAAAUUAAAUUUUACUGAUGUCCAGCUAUUCCCAUUCAUUUAUAUACUCUCUAUUGUGGUUUAGGCAUUAUAUGGCAGAGUUGAGCAGAUGACACAGACACUUUAGCCUGCAAAACCAAAAUACUUAUUCUUGGCCUUGUUACAGAAAAAGUUUGCUAAAUUCUUUCUUUCUCUCUUGGCCUGUCAUCUUGGGCUUCCUACUAAUGGGCCUAGAUGGCUUUUUAACCUCUAGUCAUCAUGUUCUCCAUCCAACCAUCAGGAAUAAGGAAGAACAGAGAGAGGGCACUUUGCUUUCUUUAAAAUACUUCUCCAAGGAAUCUCAAUUACUUUUGAUCCUGCUAUUAUUUCCACAUCCAUGACUAGCUGUAAGAGCAUAUUGGAAAUUUAGGUGGGUAGGAGCCCUUCUAAAAACUGGAUUCUCUUCAGAAGGGAAAAGGAGAAAAGGCAUGUUCUGAAAGACUAGAUAGCUCUAGCACAGAGUCAGUAUCUUAGUAGAAAAGACCAUUAGCCUAGAUAUAGCCCUGAGCCUCAAUCUUUUGCUUUUUAUUAAAUUUAUUUAUUUAUUUAUUCUAAUUAGGUGUAUAUGACAUCUGAAUACAUUUUGAUUCAUUAUAUACAAAUGCAGCAAAAUUUUUUAUUUCUCUGGCCGUACAUGAUGUAGCGUCCUACCAUAUGUGCAGUCAUACAUGUACCUAGGUUAAUGAUGUCCAUCGCAUUCCACUUUCUUUCUUGCCCCCAUACCUCCUCCCUCCCCUUUGCCCAAAGUUUCUUCAUUCUUCCCAUGCCCAGCCCCAUUAGGGCCAGGGAUAUAGCUCAGAGAUUGCCUCGCAUGCAUGAGGCUCUGGGUCCCAUCCCCAACACCACACACACACACACACACACACACACACACACACACACACAGAGAUCAACCAUAGCAAUAGUUAAAAAUACAAAUAACAUUUCUCACUUCUAAUCCUUGACAAUCAAAACCCCUAGACAUGGCUCAGGAAAAUGAGUCUCAGUCUUCCUGAGAACUGUAGAAUCUGGAUAGGCAGAACUCUUCAGGACCAGGCAAAGACUAUAAGAACCAAUUAGAGUUCUUCUUUCUCACUUCAAAUAUCUCACAGCAAUUAGAAAUAUGUAGAUCAGUAAAAAAUCUCUAUCUUCCUUUAUAAACAGAGUGAUUUCUAAGUUCACUAGGUCUCAUUUUCUGCUUAAUUUAAAAGACUGAUUAAAGUUUUACCUCUCAUAAUUGAGAUCAAUGUAGCAUAAUCUCUUGUUCUAAUUGGAUUUCCAAGGGUUUGCAUUUGGAAAGGAAUUGAAAUUCAGGCAAGUUAUCAAUGGCACACUUUUCAGAUUGUGACAACCAAUAGAUACUAUUUUUCUGAAUGGGAAACACUUUAAAUGUUGUUUCUACAUGAGUUUUAGCCAAAAUAGCCAUAGAAGAAAUAAGAAUGAGAAAAUUAAACAUAUGUUUUAAUUUGGGACUAGACACAGGAGUGUCAGAGUAGAAUGUAUGUAUACUUGCAUAAGGCACUAAAUAAAUUUAAGAGAAAAUGUGUAGUAUUUCUUUCACUUAUUUUUUUUAAUUUGCCUACAAAAAGUGAAAUAAAUAUGAGAUUGUUUUUCUGUGAAUUUUCAAAAAUCUGAGUAUAAAAUAAUGGGAUAAAUUAAUUAAGCAUGCAUUUUAUAUUUACAAAGUCCAUCACUAGGUUACAAAAAAAGAGUAAAGAAUAUUAUAUUUCAAAUAAAUAGGCCCAGAAGCUUAUUGAUUUAUUCACAUCAAUGUCAUUCUGUUUCCAAACUGUGCUCAUAUUUGAGCAGAACAAAUGGGAACUUUUUAUAAGAUUGCAAAACUCCAAUGUUUAGUUUUCUUUGCUUUUUAGGCUUUUUAUUUUUUAAUUUUUUUCUGAUACCAGGGAUUGAACCCAGGGUCACUUAACUACUGAGUCAUAUACCCAGCCCCUUUUUGUAUUUUCAUUUAGAGACAGGGUCUCACUAAGUUGCUGAGGGCCUCAUUAAGUUACUAAGGCUGGCUUUGAACUUGCUAUCUUCCUGCCUCAGCUUCCCAAACUGCUGGAAUUACAGGCUUGUACCACUACACCUGGCUGCUUUUCAAUUUUUAAUCUGUUUGAUGUAACUAUCACUCUGGUUGUAUAGUUCUUUGUUUUGAAAGAUGCAUGGAUCAUAUGACUUCUGCUACAAUCAAGACACAGAACUCUUCCAUCACCCCCAAAAUGAUCUUGUUAUGUCACUUUGAAUUCAUUCCUUGUAGUUUCCAGGGUAGGUAGCCUGUGAGUUUUUCUUAUUAAAUUUAGCAUAAUUCAUUUAAGAUUCACCCAUAUUAACACACAUAAUAAUAAUCUUUUUCUUUUUACUGCUGAGUAGUAUUUACUCAUAUGGAUAAAAAUUCAUUUGUAUAUCCAUCCCCAAUUGAAGGGCUUUUCAGUUGUUUUCACUUUUAUCAGUUAUGUAUAAAGACUGUCUACACAUGUACAGAUUUUCACUUGGACAUACAUUUUUAUUUCUUUGGGAUCAGUAGUUAAAAUAUAUUGUUGGAUCAUUAGGGUAAAAAUAUUAUUAAUUUGAUAGUAAAUUGCCAAACAGCUAGAGUGCCAUUUGCUUUUGUACUAGCAAUUUAUGAAUGUCCCAGUUACUUCACUUCCUCCCCAGUUCUUGGUAAUGUCAGGAUUUAGAUUCUCCUUUCCUGCUCUCCCCUAACUUCCUUUCCUCUGUCUUCUCUUCCACUCUCAGGUUUCACUAUUGUAAAUCCUUUUAAUUGGCUCUGGCACGCCUUUGAAAUACAUGUAUCAAGAUGCUUUCUAAAUAACUUCCUUACUUUCUGGCACUUUAAUAUGUUUCAGCCUUAUUUUAUAUACUUCCUGUCCCAAUUCUAGAUUCUUGCCCAUUUUUAAUUGGUCUUUUUAUUUUCCUGUUUUUGAGUUUUAACAGUGCUUUUUUUUUCUUUGAUAAUGUCUUUAACAGAGAAAGAAUUUUAAUUUUGAUGUAUCCUUUGCUCAUGGGUCAUGCCAUCGGUAUUCUAAGAACUCCUUGCUCACUCAAUAUCAAAAAUAUUUUCUAAUUUUUUUUUUUUUUGCAAAAACAUUAGGAUAGUAAUUCUACAUACUUAGGUAUAUGAUUUACCAAGAUAUUUUUAAAUUUCUAUAUUGUAAGGUGUAGAUCAACAUUUGUUUUGUAUACAUGAAUAUUCAAUCAUUCCAGCAUCAUUUCCUUAGUAGAUUUUUCCCCAUUGAAUCAUAUUUAUUUAUAACCUUUUCAAAAAUUAGCCAUAUGUGUUUGAGUCUAUUUCAAAGUUCUCUAUUUUGUACCAUUGAUCAGUGUGUUUUAUUUUUCAUCUUUAUCACUACACUGUCUUAAAUACUGCAGUAAGUAUUGAAGGUAUUUGUGUGAGUGUUCUAGGUUUUAUUUCUUUUUUAAAUUCAAAAUGUAUUGGCUACUCUAAUUUCUUGUCUUUAUUUGUAAAUCUUACAAUCAGUUUUUCAAUAUCAUUAAAUAUCCUUCUAGGAUUAUGAUUUGGAAUAUGUUUAAUUUAUAGAUAAUUCCAUGGAAUUUGACAUUUUUUUACAAAAUUUUCUUCCCAUCCAUGAAACUAGUAUAUAUUUUUCUCAAACUUAUUUGUUUAUUUCCAUUUCUUUUACUUUUUAACCUGAAGGCUCGUUGCUUGGAAUCAGUCCAGCACUAGCUUUCAUUCUUAUUAGUACUGUAGAAUUAGGUGCUAGAAUAGCCCCUUGAUAAUCCUCAUUGCUGAUAUUGUCCAUGUAGUAAUUAUCUGCUUUUUUAAUUUUAUGAACAUAUUUUUGCAUUCCAUGUCUCCUAAGUGUUACAUACUAUUUUUGGAAGUUUUUUUUUUUUUUGCCUUCUCGGUCAAUGUUUAAUAGGGAGACUUGUCCAAAAACUUCCUUUAAGAAGUCUACAGGUAUUGGACGUAUUUAUUUUUUUCAGUAUUUCAUAGGCAAAAUCUAUAUGUCACAAAUAAUGAACACUGAAUAAAAGCUUGAGGACUAGAUGUGUCUCUAAGGUUCAGUAUUUUAUCAUUGAUAUGUAUGGCUCAUUUACAGGUAUACUCCUCCAACUGCUUUUCAUGGGUUGUAGGUUUUUAUGAUGAUGAUAGAGGGUGGUGAAGAAUAAUAAAACAGGGAAGUAUUUUACAAUGUCAUUGGAGUCUAAACUUUUGGCAAAAAGAAAUUAACUCACUUGAGUUAGAUAUCAGACAUGCAUUGCUUUCAAAGCCAGUUAUUGUAGGGCUGGGAGUCUUAUAAACAUUAUUAUACCAUCUGAGAUUUUUGUACAAAGAUAUCUUUUAUAUGUUAUCUUAAAACCUCAGUGAGGUAAGCUAUAAAUGAAGGGGGACAAGUAGUUGUAAUGAUAGCUACUAGUAAAGCCCAGAAUCUUCUGACAUCAAAGAAAUCAAUUUCUAACACAAUUCUGUGUGAGUGAGGAUAUGAAUCGUGGAUAUGUUAAUGUUCUUUCCCAUAGUCACACAAAAAACAUAAAGCUAGAUCUUAUCUUUCCAUCUUCUUUCACCAUAAUAAAAUAUUUCUUGUAUUUUUAUUUAAAAAAUAAAUAGUCUUGAAGAUUCAAGAUCCACAAUGAUCAUGAAAGACAUAUAGAACAAACUAGACAUCUACUCAUUUAUGUAGCAGUGUCUCACACAGUUCUAAUAUUUAACUGAACUUCUGGUAUGUAUCAGGCACAGUUUGGGGCCCUGGAAGAGCUAAUGAGCAGACAGAAUUUCCUGCUGUUAUAUGGCAUGAAAUCUGAUUAGAAAAACUGAGCACAAAUGCAGUAAUUAAUUAAGCAUCUACUGUAUCAGAUAAAGAUAAAUGCUAUGGAAAUAGAGAAGGAAAAUGUGGAGGGGAGAUAGUAAGUUUUAGAGAUUAUAUUUUUAGAAUUAGGUGGCCAAUAGAAGGUUUUGCUAAGAAGGUGAUAUUUGAAUAAAUUACUGAGAAGAUAAAGGAGUAAGCAGUUUGGAAGUGUAGAGAAAAGAAUUUGUAGACUGAGGGAGAAGCCAGCAGACAUGUGUGUGGUCCCCAUAUACCUAUGUUGUUGAAGGACUAACAAGAAGGUUCUUUGUGCUCAAAUAAAGGGAGUGAGAAUGAGCACAGUGAGGAAGAGUUGGAGGAAGUGUCAUAGGUGAAUAGGGGGUGGUGAACUCAUUUAUAUGACUUUUUUUGGGCAUUGUAAGGAGUUUGUGUUUCUCUGCGAAUUAAUAGAGAAGAUAGAUCUGAGCAAAAAGCAGACUCGGUUCUUAAAUUGAUUCUUAAAUUUUUGGCUAAAAGUCAAGUGGGGGAAAGAAACUUUGAUCAAAUAAUCGUGAAAAUGAAUAUAAAAGCAAAAGUGAUAGAGGCUAAAAUGAUAACCACUCAAGUGGAUCAGGGUUAAUUAUCAAAUAAAAACUGAUAUUUGAUCUUGGAUAUGAGAGAUCAGUAGAUGUUGACUUGCUAAACAAUAUAAUGUUAAUAGUGAUGUUUUAUUGAGUGUUGCCUUCUAAGCAGCUGUGUUUUCAGCACUUACCACUGAUGAGCUCAUUUUAUCUUCACAGUAAUGCAAUAAGUGACACAUGGUUUUUAUAUUUUGUAGGUGAGGAAGCUGAGGAACACAGAGAUCAAGUAAUUUGCUCAUUUACUAUUUAGUAAACAAGAAAAAAAGGGAUAGGAAACCAAGAAAACCUAUCACAGCAAUGCUACUGAUCUUACAUGGAAAAAAAAAAAAAACAACAAAACCCUCCUGGAUCUUGACCUAUGAAAUUCCCUUACCACUCUUGUCUAUUGGCUCUAGCUGUCAUAUUUCAAUGCUUGCCUCUAAUUCACUCUGUAUCCUUUUCUCACCUUUCCCGCCAUUGUAGAUGAUUUUUAUGAAAUUCUGAAGAAAGGAUGAUCAUUCAGUGACCUCUAUUUGGUAAAUAAUUGCUCAUUAUUAUGUGGCAUCUUUUCCAAUUGAGAAGAGUUUUCAAUAAAUUGUUUAUGUAAUUUCAUGUUUUUUGAACUUUAAUUUUGGAAAUUGAUUAUAAGUCCAUAGAGGUUUGAGCAAAGUAAAAUGCAAAUGAGAUGAUUGCUUAUUUAUGCCUCAUAUAUUAUUGGGCACAAAGUCCUGCAAUAAUAUACACCAGACAUAGAACAAAACAGAAAGGGAUCCAGGAGUAAGAAGAAAUCUCUCAAAAAUCACUAGUGAUUUACACUUUUUUUACAAAUCUAUUGACUGUUAAGCCUAGGUUAAUACCCAAUAAAUCUAUUAUUUAUUAACACUGUUUUAUAGUAUUCAAAGUAGCAUAGGAGACAGCUAAACAGUAAGUAGAUAACUGAGUACCAAACAAGCAUGAAACUCCAAUAGAUGUUUGGGUGCAAGAACAACCUGAGAUCUAAGACAAGAGGUGAAAUAUUUAGUGCAAAAUGGAAGACGAACACAAAACAAUUAAAAGAGAAAAUGCCAGCCAAGUUGCUUUCUGCCAUUACCCCUUCAGUUCUCUGUGGUGCUUGUGAGGCAGAGCUUUCCUAUGGACAGGUUAUCCAUAACACCUGGAAAAUGUGAACUGCACAGGACAAAAGGAUAAUUUCUGUCCUUUUUGGCUCUUAGAUUACUAGCCAAUUGGAUGUUAUUAAGUCUCACAGGAGAGUUCACUGCUUCUGCCCUGGGCCUGCUCUCAGCUUCACUAGGACUCUAUCUAAUGCAUCCCUUCUUUGGGGUAAAAAUUUCCUGUUGUUUAAAAUGAAUGAAUUGAACCUAACUGUUUCUGAUACUCUGUACUUUAUGUCCUUCCCUGUCUUAUGUACAAGUAGAAUUCUGUGCAGAAGUUGAAUUUUUCUUUUUCCUUCCUCUUGAAGAAGUGUACAUUUACUUGUGCCCAUCUGUGAUGCAGCACUGCUCUAUGGCAAGUUCUGCUACAGUCAAAUGUGCUGCAUGGAAGCUGGCUAUUUCUGAGGUUUAGUGUUAAGAUGUUAUAAUCCCAAAUACAACACACUUCAAGUAACGCAUCAAUAAUACAGGGAUUAUUUCACUCUCCUAAGAGUUUAUAAUUCUUGGCCUGACAAUUUCUUUUGUCAAUGUUGAGAUUUUAAUUCAUCUGAAGUUGAUUUGGUUUUCAAAUUGAUAAGAUAUAGACGUUUUAUUUGAAUCAUUUCCUUUCUUGAAAAUAAAAUAAUGGUAUUUCUAAGAGUUGGUGGAAUCUUUGGUCUGGUGGAAUAUAAUAACAUAUUAACAAUUGGCUUUGAAAUGUGGUAUCUAGUAGUGCAAAUAUUUGUCCCUUCUAAUGCUAUGUUCUGGGAUUAAUAAGAAUAUGCUGUUUCCAAGAAUGGCAAGUACUCAUUUGGAGCCUGGCUACAUUUGAAAAUGAAUUUCACAGUCCAGCCAAGUUUGCCAUGUUUUCUACCAAAGGAUAAUUAAAUGGCUUCACUUUUAAGAUUGUUUUUGCAUUGCUUCUGGAUGAAAACUGCCCCUGCAUACCACUCAUCCCCAUGUUUUUAAUUCAUAAAAAUGCCAUUUGUACAAAUAGAGCAAAGGCCCAAGGGCUUCUAAAUGAGGCUGUUAAUAGGACUUGUCAAUUAACUUCAGUGCAUUGAAUGAAAUAUAUUAUGUGCUUAAUGAUCUUUAAUGCUCUCAGCUCAAUCAUAACAAAGAAUCCAACAUGUAGAUUUGUAGCAGCUGGUGGUCUCCAUUUGUCUCUUCUUUUGAAAGUAGAACGUUCAUUUAAUAAAAGCUGCUGAAACAAUGGUCUUCAUGCCCUGUGUGUAUUCCUGAAGUUUCUGAAAAGAAACAAACACGUGGCAGAUAACAUUUUUCAAGGUUUUAGUACAUAUUUGGUGGAAAGCAGAGAAUAGGUUAGGUUCCAGCAAGUGAUGGGAGAGAGUAACAUGACGUGAUGUUGGGAGUUUGUGGCUUUAGCAUUGGUUUCUGUGGCAACUGACUUUCCUAUAGUUACAGCAGAAUGUGAGCAAUAUAGGAAAACACCUAUAGGAAAGAUACCUGCACAUAGACUUAAAAACUGUCAACUAUGAUUGUGCCAAAUAUUAGAGGGCUAACAUAGAGUGAGGGAAACAACAGAAUAUUAUAUAAGAAACAAAUAUGAGAGAUAUAAAAUUCCCUGAAAUAGACUAAAAGAUGGUUGUGCAGUUAGUAUGAAAAAGAUAGAGUUACUCUUUAGAGAGUCCUCAGCUAAUUUCUUAUUUACUUGUAAACCAAAAUUUAGAUCUUUCCUUUUAGAAUACACUAGUAUAAGUGUCACAUGUCUAAUGCAGUUAAAUGUCAAAAGUAAAAAAUAAAAAUAAAACAUCUGUUGUAUAGGGCACAUACAUGAUCCUCAAAUAUAGGAGGCCUUUGUCAAUAUUAAAAAGAUUUAUCAACUGAGUUGUAUAAGAUAUUGUGUGGCAAUUUCUAGCGGGGCUUCUAGUUCAGGAUAAUAAAUGAGUAGCUAUUUCUCUCCUUUACUUCAAAAUUACCUCUGAAAGAAAAAAAUAAAAGAUAAGUCAUUCAUAUAUGUGCCAAUAAUGGGAAGUGAGAACAUCAGUGGAUUAUAGAUUUGACAAGUUUCUGGAAGAUGGAGAGUGGAUUGAAUCAUGGUAGGCAAUUUGGAAUGACCACAGUCCAGUCUGGCUGCUGAAGGCUGUUGUACAAGUAAGAACUGGCAAAGCCACCAGGUAACCACAGACCAGAAUUCACAGCUUGACAGAUUAUGAGUAGUAGUGAUGACAAAGGCUAAGAAAUUAAAGAAAUGUCUAUCUGGAAAGAUUUCUUCCAAAAUAUGAUGAAUAUUACAGCAAAUACACUUCCUGCAAAAAAAAAAAAAAAAAAGGAGGAGGAGGAGGAGGGAAUAAACUGCUUAGAGAAAUGCUGGUGCCAUAGGAAAGUUUUCCUUAUUUUGCUUUUAGAGUAAGAAGUGGGAGAAUUGAAGAGGCCAAACCUGUGUUUUCUACACUCAAACAACCUAUCCUGAAACCUGGCAAUGUGAUAGACCCAAUCCGCAAUUGACAGAAAUUAUACUGCUCAGAUAAAGAUGGCUGACAAAUGAACUAGGACUUCUCAGAUGACAAAGAAGACUAUCUUCCUGCUCCUAAUUCAUACAUAUGGAUAGGCAGACAUGUUAGGGCAUUACAUUGUUAGAGUAACAGAAUACAUACAUCCCUUUUAAAAACAACAUUGGAUUUUGACAAUUACUAAAUAAAUAACAACAAUGAAAAAGAGAAACAUAUUCCGUUUUGUGUAAGACUAGGAAAUAUAAUGAAUUACAAUGUAUGAAGAUUAGAAUAUAGGAUGGAGUGGAAUCUAGCAUAAAAACUUGAAAUAAAUGAAAACAGAACAGAACUCCUCAGAAGGAAAUAGGAAUAAAUAUUCCAAUUCAAGCAACAUGCAACUGCAAAGCUUCAGGUGGAGAAUAUCAGGUGCUUCAUGUAUGAAGAUGUGAGGAAAAAAAAAAGAAUAGCGUUACCUUAGACUAAGUGGAGAGAAGUGAUUGGAGAGGAGGGGAGGGGAUGNUUGAGAGGUAGAUGUUUUGGUAAGUGAUUUAGAUAUUUCUCAAAAAUGGGAUCAAUGCCUUUAAAGUAGACUGAAGCAUGUUUGGUGUGCUGCUUCUGCCACGUGAAGGCACAAAAGCAAGGUGUCAUGUCUGAAACUUUUAUUAGACACCAAAUCUACUGGGGCUCUGAUGUUGGACCUCCUAGAUGCCAGAAACAAAAGCAAUUAGUUUCUCUUAUUUACAAAUCAUCUAGUCUAAAUUAUCUUGUUAUAGCAGCCUGAAUAGACUAAGACCAAAAAAAUGAAGCUGUAGGGAAAAAACCUUAUUUUAUUUUAUUUGCCCUAAACCUCAGCCUAAAGCCCAGAUGCACGUCAUCUGAGGUCAUGAGAUGUACUGUGGCAACUGGCCCUACAUCACUGCCUGACAAAAUCUGAGGCUAACUCCUUUUGUAGCAGGAAAAUAUCAUAAAGAACUUCAAAUUAAUUAUUUGAUUUAUUUCAACUCAGAUCAGUUAUCUAUUACAAAUCCAUAAUUAUGUUCUCUUUGAGGACUGUGACAAUACUACCUAAAAUUACAACACUUUCCCCCAGAUUUGCUUUAUUUUUCUACUUAGGCCUUGCUGAUAGCACAUAAAUCACUUUCAUUUUUAGAUUGUUUCCUGUCUCUCUCACUACAGUGUACACACUGGGAAAGCAGGGGUGGUUUGUUUGUUACUGUAUCCCCCAAAUCUAGGUCAGUGCCUGGCCUGGAAUUAUUUGACAAAUAAAAAAUAUCCAUUGCCAUUCAUAUGAUAUGCCAUUCAUGUGGUUACAGGACUUGAGAGAAAUACAUCAACAGUCUAACAGUGAUUACAUCUUAGUGGGAGACUGUAAUUUUGUUUCCAGAGUUUUUUUUUUUUUUUAAUUUCCAUGUAUUCUACCAUUGCCACAUAUUAUUUCUGAAAGUGUCUUAUAAAUAUAUUAUUUUGUUGAAAGCCACUAAAAUAGAAAUUAUAAAGUUUAUUCCCCCUUACAAUUUCAAUGUUCAAACUCAGAAAUAAAUUACAAAAAAUUACAUGUGAUCUUUUAGUACAGUCAUGCUGGUAUAAUCACAUAAUCUCCUGUGUUCUCCAUUUUGACACACUAUAAGCUGGCCAGGUUAUAUGACUGUGGUGAUGGCACAGAGCCAGGUUAGCCAGACUGCGAAUUACUCCCUCCAGCCUGUUCAUACAGUCCAGGAUUCUAUUAUGUUGCACAAUGCCUCAAAAAUACAGACACUGUUAAGACAGAAAGAGGCUUUGUUCCUGACAUCUAUUUCAUGGGCUCCUACGUGUUCUAACAUCCAAUGUCCAUUUUUCUCCAUAGGCAUUGAGCAUUGUAAAAUAUUUAAUUUAAUUGAAAAUAAAACCUGUAAUUAAUAACCAGUGAUUAAUCAUAUUUAAUGUCUUACCAAUAGAUGGCUUCUGUAACUUCAUUGACUGGCUAUAAUUAUAGCAUACAAUAGAAGAACAUAAAGUUGGGAGUGGACCAAAACGUUGGAAUAGAGAAAUUCAAUUUCCUGUUUUCUCCAAGGCAUGAAAACAAGAAAGCAGACAGGCAGCUUCUCAGCAAGGGAAUUAGGAAUCCUGAUAUUCCCAUUAAUGGGCAAAUGCACAAGUUUCUUCUGAGUGUUAAGGAGACCACAUCCUGUCACUUGUGGAAUGUUAUCUCUUCCAGCAGUGGAAGAGAUAAGAAUGUGUUGCAAAGAGGUCUGGGCAGUGCCCCCAGUGUGGAAAAUAGUAGGAGCAAGAACCUUAGCCCUUGGAGCAAUGAUGGGGUAGAGAUGGCAGCAGUCAAGGAAUCCACAGAGCAGACUAAUACUAGCAGAUAGUAUUGAGAGAAGAAAUUCCCCACCUGAGGAGUCUGACCAGGCAGUAGCAUGGCCACAGGAGAGGGAGACACCAGUCAUGGCAGGAGAGGUGGAAUCUUCAGAAAAGUGCGUCUGGACAUGUAGAAUCUGUGGGUGAAUGUAGGAGACCAACCUUGCACGUGACUGAGUCACACUCCCUGGCUGGGUGCUGAGGUGCUCAGUGGCAGAAAUGUGGCAGAGCUUUCACCAGACUUCUUGGGUUCGAGGGUCAGUGUCUUCUGCAUGGGUGUGUCUUGCUACAGCCCCAUGGGUGAAGCUAUGCUCACCUGUUCCUUUGUAAUAUAACCCCUUUCCCUGUUUAGGAUAGAAUCUUCCAUGGAAGUGCCUUGUGUGUGUCCCCUGCUCUUACUGUGCCCUUGGGUGUGGCCUACCCAGGUGUCAGUCAACCUGCUGACAGUGGACAACAUGAAGAUGGACUCAGCCCCCUGAAACCUGACCCCUUGCCUCAUUUGAAUAGCUUCUCCUCAAUAAAAGAGGGUCAGCACGUGUUCUCGCUCUCUCUCUUUCUGCGAACCCUUAAGGUCAGAGGAGCCAUCACAGCGACCCCAAAGAAAAAGAUAUUUGUGUCUCUUGUGUGGUUAUUUUGUGCAGCCCAAUUACUCCAGUUUAACUGGAGUGACCCCUGAGACUUUUAGUCUCGAGAACAAAAACUCGGCCAGUGAAUGUCCCAAUUCUGCGGCUUCAGUGGGAGUUACUGGGGUGAAGGUUUGGUAUGAUGGUCUCUCAGGUCUCACCUGUCAGGAUCAGAGGGACUGAACUGCAAUGGACAUUGGGGACCAGACAUGUAACAUCAGGUGUGCAGCUUUCAGAUUCCGUUUACCACUUUAUGGAACAAAUUUUGUGGGUCAUUGAAUUCAUGAUGGCAUCUUCACUUAAUUAUGAUGACCCAGUCACUGAGCCACCAUAGAAGACUCAGUAUCCUCCCCCUUGAGCUCCCUUGCUUCCCAAUACUGUAUCCACAAUCCACCUUCUCCCACAUCUGCUUUCUGAAGAGGAAGUUUCAUCGGUCAUUUCCACCAGGGAAAAGGAAUCGUACUGUACGUUCACUAUCCAGAACCUGCACUUUCUCUACCCUUUUGCUGAUGCAAGUAAGGAUGAGGAUCUGCUUCCUGCUGGCACAGAAGAUCAAAUCCAUUAAAAAAAAAAAAAAAAAACAGAAACUAGUGAAAGCAUUUAAGGAGAAAUUUACCUGCAAUGGUACUGGAAUUGAGAAUCCAGAAUAUAGAGAAGAAAUUCAGCUACUGGGUAAAUAGCACAAGAGCAGAGAUUGGACCGAUCAAGGAUGAUCAGCUGAAGGUUCAUGGGUUUUCAAUGUGUGUGGCUCACUGAAGCUUAAGUGAGGAUUUCCUUGCAAUGAGUACAAUUUCUCGUGUCCCUUGUCACAAGUUUAAAGCUCUCACAGCUUUUUUUAUGUAACCAUUUUGGAUCCACUAUAAACUUGGGACUAAUAUAACUCCUUCAUGCAAUAAACUGAAAAAAAUCUAUGCAGUCUAGUCUUGAAGUUUCUCAUUUAAACAGACAUCAGGCAAUAGGUGCCUUGCAGUGUCCACCCUGAAACAAAACAAUAAUAUGAUGUUUCAGCAAAACCCAGAGCCCCAAGAUCACAGGCAUCUGUUUCUGGCCAGAAGCUCCUUAGCUCUCCCUGAGCAGAGUCCCCUGCCCUAAGAGUGUCAUGACCUGAACAAUAAAGAGAGGAUGAGAUAAGGCAACAACAGCAGCUGUACCACUAGAGGGAAUUUUUGGUAAUAAAAAGAGCUCAUAGUGUCUCUAACCUGAUCAGGUGGGCAGAUUUCAGAGACUACCUUCCUUCUAGUGAGAUGAUGCAGCAUCUGGCUUUCCACCAAGGUCUUCUUUUGGACUAGACAUCUUCUAGCUAAGGGGUGUCCAAAACACCAGAAUGUGAAGCCAGCCGAAUAUUGAUACUGGCGUUGAGAAUCAGGUUUGAGUCCCGUUCCCCAAGGUGCUGAAGAUUGAACACCCAAGAAACACUGAGGCAAUGCAAAAUGUUUUAUUUAAAGGAGACAGAGAGAGGCAGACAGAAACUCCUCUACAGAGGAGGGCUUCCAAGUUGGUGCCUGAAGGAGUGUGGGUGUCCUGACUUUUUUAUGGAUUUCAGAUUUUCUUUGUUCUCAUGCCCCCCUCCUCCGGAUACAUUGCCUAUGUGACCAGUGACCAAAAUGUGGAGUGACCAGCGUCAGGAAGAGAGUCAUCCAGGGGUUAUUCAUUAACAACUUCAUGUAGGGAGGAACAAUUCGCUGGAGGCAGGUAACGGGGCAAAAGUUUGGAGGAGAGGGAAGUGCUCUGGAGGUAUUAGCAUUUUAUUUCCUCUUGAGUAUGUCCCAUCUUCCUGACACAAUCAUUCACUACCUACACUGUCCUUUGCCCCCCCAUCCUCAAUAUCAGUUAAUUUUUUUGAGGGAGGUACUGGGGAUUGAAACAAGGGCACUCAACCACUGAGCCACACCCCCAGCCCUAUGUUGUAUUUUAUUUAGAGACAGGGUCUCACUGAGUUGCUAAGUACCUCACCAUUGCUGAAGCUGGCUUUGAACUCAGGAUUCUCUUGUCUCAGCCUUCCUCCCAAACCGCUGGGAUUAGAGGCAUGUGCCAUCAUGCUUGGCAUCAGUUAAAUUUUUGAAAAGGGAACAAAUACAAGCUGUUGUUAUCAGUCCUGUAACUAGCUAUAGAGCUUGCAACUUACCUGCAACUCACUAGCUAACCAGUGCCAAGUGAAGUAAUAAAUUGGUUUAUGGUUUUCUUUUUAACUUCUAGUUUUAAUAUUACAUAAUGUAUUUAAAACCUGAUAUAAAUAAAACUUGUUUUCAGGGGAGAAAAACAAAGCUUUAUUGACUUGUACAGCUAGAUACAUUAUCUACAAUUUUUUUUUAAAUACGAGCAAUAUCUUCCAGAUUAAUGUUAAUGUUUUCAUGGGUACUUCCAUCUGUGAGGACAGCUCUUGAUUCUUAUUCUCCUCUCUGCCAUCCUGCAUAGGCUAUGAAAUUUAUGUUUCCCUUGAGUGAAAUGAGCUGUCUGAGAAAAAUGGCAAAAAAAUCACACAACACAGAAAUAAUUUUGAAAAGUGAGGGUGAGACAGUGUUGUGACCUUAGUGGUCCUGUUUCCACACUGGAAGAAGAGAGAGAGAUAGGAGCCUAGUUUGCUUUAUUUAUACAAGGGUCUUCAAAGGAUUUCAAUGGAAUGUUCUUUUGCCAAAUAAAGUAGGAGGGGGGCAGUCCAAGCCCAACAGGUAAUGCCCUAGUCCAAAGCUACAGAGCAAUCUCUCUAGUCCAGCGAAGACUGAGGUCAUCACGUGAUUUGCAUAAUAAGCCACAAAAUGACUUGCAAUGCCAAACCAAAAUCUCCUUGGCUCCAAGGCCCAGUAGAGGCUAUUCAAAUAGCCCAGAGGUGGCCCCCUACAGAAGGCCAUUUGGAAAUUAGAUGAAGUAAACUUCUCAGUCCAAUUUAUAGAAUACUGUCAUUUAGGCUUCUGACCACCACCCUUUCAUUACUCUUCCACAUCACAUACUGGCAAAGUCUAGAAGAUGACACAAGGAGUGGAAAGUGUUUCCAUAAGAAAAUGCCUAUUGCAUCUGGGGUCUAGUGAUCCUCCAAGAAAAGGUCAGCUCCCAUCUGUUUGAUCAUUCUACAUUUAAGCUUAUCAGUCAGAAAAACCGUAGCCUUCUAAUCACUCUCAAAUGUAUUUAUACAAAGUGAACCUAAAGGAAAGAAAGAUGGAAGAGAGUAAGGGAGGGAGCAGAAGAAGAAGAAAGGAAAGAAAGAAUAAAAGCAAAGUCUCUCCAAGUCAUUUAAGGCAUUUUGACAAAGCUCCUAACAUGAAAGUUGUAGAACAAAGCAAAUUCCAAAAACACAAAUAUAUCACAGACUAGAUGAAUAUGUCAACAGUGUGUUUUAAUUUACAUGCACAAAAUAUAUUUCAUUGAUGAAAAUAAUAGGGUGCUAUUAAAAAUCAAAAAAAAAUGUAUUAAAAUGAGCAAAGUAUUGAAAAAGAACUAUUAUAGGGCUGGGGAUGUGGCUCAAGCGGUAGCGCACUCGCCUGGCAUGCGUGCGGCCCGGGUUCCAUCCUCACACCACAUACAAACAAAGAUGUUGUGUCCGCCGAUAACUGAAAAAUAAAUAUUAAAAUUCUCUCUCUCUCUCUCUCUCUCUCUCUCUCUCUCUCUCUAAAAAAAAGAAAACAAAAGAAAAAGAACUAUUAUAAAAAGUAAACAGAAUGAGGUAAGAAAAAGUCAAUAUAUUUCAGUAGGCAAUCAAAAAAGAUGAGAUUGAUUUUAUGUGAGGAAAAAGUGUAAAAAAAAAUUUAAUUAAAAUAAAAGGCAAAUCAGACAAAGGGGCACAACCUACCAGUAAGCAUCCUAGUAAAAUCAAGGAAAACAAAGGAAAGGAAGAAAGAAAUAAUAGAAAAUUUUCUGGAACUGAAGAACUUCAGGUAUAAACUGAAAGAGCCAUAGUGUUCCUGUUGCUUAUUCCCACGAAUGAAAUAAACCCAUCAUUAGUAUUAGCAAAGUAAUGGGUAAAAAUCUAAUUUGCUAGAGGAAAUAAUACUUAAUAAGAUUCAAAACUCAUUAUCUAAAGUAUAUAUUAACAUGUUAAUGUAUAAAAUCUUUUUUUAUUGUUGUUUUAUUUUGUGUUUUGGUACUAGGGAUUGAACUCAGGGGUACUCGAACACUGAGCCGUAUCCCCAGCCCUAUUUUGUAUUGUAAUUAGAGACAGGGUCUCAUUAAGUUGCUUAGCACCACACUUUGGCUGAGGCUGGCUUUGAACUUGUCAUCCUCCUAACUCAGCUUCCUGAGCCACUGGAAUUACAGGUGUGCACCAUUGUGUCAGGCCCUUAUGUAUAAAAAUCUUAAUUUUAUGGAGGAAGAAAGAAUAUUCUGCAAGAUUUAAAACUGAAUAUAAAAAAUUCAACACUUAUUUAAAAAAAAAAACUUGAAUUAAACUAAGAAUGGGAGGAAAUGUCUCUAAUCUACUAAAAACAAUUUAAAUAUUACCCCAUUCUAAAAGUGACCUUUUAUGAUAAAAAAAACAAAAUAUAGUUAGAAAUAACUUUGUCAUUAUAUUUAAUUUGCAAUUCUAUUAGGCAAUGUUAAAAAAAUUAAAAACUGGAAAAAUUGUGAACAUAAAAUAUUAUAUCUUGUAAAUUAAAUAUUAUGGUUAUUUGUAUAGAAGGCACAUGAUAAUACAGAACAAACAAUAGCUAUAGAAUUCAGAAAUAUAGUGGAAACAUUUUAACAAGUAAAACUUUUUAGUAAUUUUUAAAUACUUUUAUGUACUUGUAGUUUAAGAAUUAUAAUUACUCAAGACUGAGCAAAUAUAAAUUUGCAAUGACCUUAUGGUGAAAAUGUCAAAGUGCUAUUAAAGGGCUUGGAAGAAAAGUCAUAUAAUUAUGAGAUAUAUCCACAUAUAUACAAAGUCUUGCUAUUAUAGUGAUGUGAUUUGCCCAAAAGUAAACCUAAAAAAUUCAGUGUUAUUUCAAUCACAGAGCUAAUUAGACUAGAAAUCUAAUUCUUAAAGUAAUUUGAAAAAAUUAAUGACAAAUCCAAAGUGAACAAAUAUUUAGGAAAAUGGGAACUUAUAGAUACUGUUGAUAGUUUCAGUUGGUAUAGUUACUUUGCAGAAGAGGUUUGUAAGAUCAAGUCAAUUUUCAGAUGAACAUAAGUAUCACCUGAGAUUACAACAUAGCUUUUUAGAUGCUUAAGAAGUCUAUGAUCUAAUUACAAAAUUGUUUAUAAUAACAAACGGCUGAUCAAUAUAAAUAUCCAUCAGCAGAAGAAUAUAUAUAUAUAUAUAUAUAUAUAUAUAUAUAUAUAUAUAUAUAUAUAUAUAUAUAUAUAUAAUCUAUUAUGGUAUAUUCAUAAGGUAUAAACCAGAGAGCAACUCAACUAAAUAAAAAAGAGAAAUAUAUCAUAUGGGAAUGAGUAGGCAAGAUCCAGAAUGAUAUAUAAUGCAUGAUAGAUUUAAUGGCAUGCAAAACAACAAUAAAUACUGUUUAUAGAUAUGUACAAAUGUAACAUGCUGUGAAAACAUUUAAUGCAAAGACCCAUAUCAUUUCUAUAAUGGUGGUUAUCUCUAGGAGAAAAAGUACAUUGGGACGGAAAGGAAUAUAAAAUGUUUUUUAUCAGUCACGUUUGACUUCAAAAUAGUUUGGAAAGAAUUUGUUAAACAUAAGAAUUGAUUAUGUAUGUUUAUUAUAAUACUCUAUUAUUUUCUGAACAUGAGAAACUUUUAAUUAAAAUUUAUCAAAAUAUAUACUUGAGUUAUUAUUUUCCUAGUUUCUACUUUAAACUAUUUAAAACACAUUGCUCUUUUGGUUGCAUUAAAGUCCUUUUGUAAAUUAGGCUUUAUACAAAAAGUAGCUAAACAUUACCAGAUGGGGAGGAGUUGAACAUUAGGUAUAUAAUGACAGCAAUUAAAGAGAGAGGUUUAAGAUAUUUUAUAGGUAGUGCAUUCUCUGUAAUGCAAGGAAAAAAAUAGUAGACAGAUGUCUCAUUAGCUAAUGCACCUCGUAUAUUUUUCUUCUGUAAUUUUUUGACAGCAUCACCCAGCAUCCCAAAUAAGCAUAAGAAUGAGUUUGGUUGUGAAAUGAAACAAAAUAUAGAGGGUUUGCUAUGGCUAUCUUUCAAUCUGGACAGAUGACAUUCAUUCACUGGAAAAUAUAUUGGGCUUGGUUAAAAUUGCAUGGUGAUUUAAAUAGGCUUGGCAUGUCUCCAGGGCCACUGGAGGGUUGUCUUCAGCUUUUGAGACUGAAUUUCCUGGAGGUGUUCCUUGGACUGGUGUGACUUAGUUUAUCUCUAUUCAUAACAUUAUCAUUUUUUUUACAUAAUCCCAUGUAUAUCAAUAACUUUCUAAUUAGAAUAUAACAGCAGCUAUUUAGUUUCAAAUCUCCAGGAAAGUGUCACCUUGUCAGGGAUUUUUAAUGUGCAUUGAUAACUAAGAAAAUGGAUGUUCUGAGGCCAUAUAACAUGAAGGAGAUGAAUUUAUUGCUGUUAGUGAGGACUUUGACAUCAAGAAAUAGUUUUCUGCUUAUAGUCUAUAUACUUCUCAGGCUCUAUAGUGCUGAGUUGAUCUUGUUGCCCUUGCCUAUUCUGAACUUUCAGAGAUAUAAAUCGUCUCUAUUUUAGAUUCAUAAGUUUUAUACUGUUUCUUUUCAUCAGGGAUAUUGGAGUUGAAAUUAGUUUCAUUAGAAUUUCUCCAACAGUGCUUGAUGAAAAGCAUUAUCACUCUUUCCAUAUUAUUAGUGUAUUCAAAAUGAAACAUUUUGAGGAAUUGAAAUGAAUGAUGGAUGUAUAUACAGUAUUGGUUAAAACAGUUGCUGGAAAUGGCCUUGCCACAUGCCUGAGAAACAGGAAAAUCCAGUACCUUUGAUCAUAUGUUAAAUGCACACAUACAGUAAGUAAAUAAGAGAUAAAUAAGUAACUGUGACUUUAAAAGUAGUGAUAAAGUUUGGUUAUUUUCAUUAGCCAAUGAGUCCAUCAAGCAGGAAUACUUGAAAUCUGGUAUAUUAAAUUACUAUGUCUAAAUUUUUGAGAAAGUAAAGUGAUAUUUGCAACUCAAAUGUGUAUGGAAAGCAAUAGUAAUGGAAAAAGCAUGAACCUUACAGUUAGGAAAAUUAUGGUGACUUUUUGGCUUAGGUGUCACUAUUCUAUUUCUGUUGAGUUUUGUCCACUGUUAAUUGUACGAUGAUAUUUUAGUGAUUGUCAUGAGGAUUUCAUUGUCUGAUCUACAUUCAAUUAUCUCUAAUUUUGUCAGGCACAUAGUAGGGGACUCACAACUAUUUUUGAAACAAUGGUAUUCAUAUACACAAACAUUCAUGAAUGCAUGAAUAAGUAAAAAGGGUAUGGUCUUGCACAAAAGUGGUUAAUAAGUAUUUGUUACACUUCUAUUCCUUCUGCCUUCAGAAUAGUUGUGAUCAUUAAACACGUGAAUAUAUAUAUAUAUAUAUAUAUAUAUAUAUAUAUAUAUAUAUAUAAAGAGCUACUGAAAAAAAGUGUCAGCUUUCUUUCAACAUCGUUGCACACACGCCCACAUAAACAUGUCUUUAUCUAGCAGUCUGUAAAUGCAUACUUGCUUCUAAAUUAUUGUACAACAAAAUACUUAACCACUUAGCAUGGCAAAGACAAAUGUGUAGUAGGUUAACAGCAAGUUGAAUAUGUGGUUAUUAUUUAAUGUAUCUAAAAUUAAACUAUUCAUUAUACUUCCCAUCCACUCUGAGUCCCAGAGUAUGUCCAAUGUAUGAGAUAUAAUUCAGCAUUCAAUUCUAGACGCUUAUAAAAUUCUUUUGUCUAGGUACAUCUGCCACCUCCAACUUUCUGAUACAUUACAGUUCUCUGAUAGUAGAGCUAUAACUUCUCUUAUGCCAUAGCACAAAGCUAAAUAUGUCUAUCAAAUUACAUUAGUUAGGAUGAUGUGAAUUAAUAUUCCCUGGUAUGUCCUUUCUUAUUAUCAAGUGAACAAUACUUUUACCUGUUAUUGUUACUAUCAUCAUGCAAAUAUUCAGGGAAAUCAAAAUAACCUAGCUAUUUAUAAAAGACAUACCUGAAACAAAAAUAGUAUCAAAAACUUGGAAAAAAAAGAUAUAAUUCACUAUGCAAAAAAUAACAAAAUACAGUGGAAAAGCUAUGAAUAUGACAUAAAAUAAAAGUUUAAAAGAAUUUAGUGAAAUGAACAAAAAUUUUUGAUUGAUAAAAGAUAAAUUCUGCUGGGUACAGUGGCACAUUUCUGUAAUCCCAGCAGGUCCCAAAGCUGAGGAAGGAGGAUUGUGAGUUCAAGACCAACAUCAGCAACAGUGAGGCACUAAGCAACUCAGUGAGACCCUGUCUCUAAAUAAAUACCAAAUAGGGCUGGAGAUGUGGCCUAGUGAUCAAGUGCCCCUGAGUUCAAUCCCUGGUACCCUAACCACUGCCCCCUCCAAAAAGAAGAUAAACUCCACUGGAGAGGUAUAUCAGUUAAGAACUUUUAAGAACUUAAGAAAUGCAAAGAAAAUAUAUAUGAUCACAGAAAUUUCCUCAGAAAAUAAAAGAACAAGAUAAGAAAUACAAUCAUCCUGUUUCUAUACAGAUGCAUAGGUACAUUUAGAUAUGAAUCUUGUAUGUAUUUGGGUAAGAUCAGACUCAUUUCUCUGAAACUUCAAGUAGUACUGAUGGACCAAAAAGUUUCAAAAUACAAAUGUAAUUAGGUUAGAGUCAGUGGUUCAGAAAGACAUAAUGAUCUUCAGCUUCCUUCUGGGGUUCACAGGCUUCACUUCUUGCUACUCAUGCUUAACCUUCUGUUGUGGCUAGGGACAUGAGAUAAAGCCUGUGUGAGUAGACCAAGCUUACCUGGUCACACAGGUUAGAGACCCUGACCAUUCAGCUGCUGGCAGACCAGGCCCAUUAUGUGUGGUUUCCAUGACUGCAUAAUGGUUAGUAAUCACUCAUUCUCAUCAUGUAACUGAUAAAAAUAACAUCAGAUGAGUUAGGGUAUAGAUUAUAGCAAAGCCUAUAGAUAACAUAAAGUAUAGGAUAUGCCUUUUAUUCUUAAGUGUGGGAUUUUAUGAAGAAGCUUGGGAUUCCCAAGUAUCACAUGCCCAGCAGGAUACCAAAGAUUUGCUACCUUAAAUUUAUAUGCUCACAGAUAUCUGAACAGAAAAGAUAAACAAAAUAAAAUAUGUAAGGUACAACUAUGUCCCACAUACCAUUGAAGAUAUCUUUUAUGGUAUAGCUGGAUAUAUGAGUGUUAGACACUGCUAACAUUUUUGGAGAAGGCACAGUAAAACUGCAUCCAUUCAUUGCUGAAGGCCAAUGGAGAUUAACAUCUUUAAAAAGAUGCUCUACACUUUUGAAUAAUUUGAUGUGUUAAAGUUUAAUAAUGUAUCACAGCUGGAGGCCACAGUGGUUUUUUUUCAUUGAUUUAAUAAACUUUGUUAAAAAUAAUUUAAAUGAAAAUCAAUUAUUUUGACAGAAUAUUAAAACAUGUUAGGAAGUACAGUAAAGAUAUUAAAUUAAUUAGACCUUUCAUUCUGCAAAUCUCUAAAAUUAGUGAGAUAAACAAAUUUUUAAAAAUCUUAAAUAUGAAAUGAAGAAACAUUUCAGAGUGUAGUACUUUCUUUCGGCUAACUUAAAAGACAGUAACCAAGAAACUGUUGUAAUUAUGAUUGCCCAUUAAUAUAGGCCUUGAGAUACGAACAUUCUUUGUGAAGAAUAUGGGCUUUGAGACUGCCAACAUUACUUCUGUGAAAGGGAAAAAACCCUGGGAAUUAUGUUUUUGUAUGAUCCUGGAUUUUUUGAUCUCAUGUAUAUGAUUUGCAUCCUUGCUAGAAAAACAACAAAAUAAAACAAACAAACAAACAAACAAACAAAAAAGAGAAAAUAAUGAGAAGGAAAAAAAACCCUCAAGUUCAUAUUACCACUGUUGCUGGAUUCUCAUCCCUAGAACCUCUGUGGUCUUCUGAUGCUCAGCAAGUGUCCAUAAGUGUGUACUUACGGGUAUUUGAAUUCAACAGAAUAGUCCAUUUAUAAGAAAACACCCACAUGCAUGACCCACUGUACAUAUGCACACUCACAAAUACACAUGACACCCCAAUAACUGCCCAAACACAGGAUUUAUUUGAUAUAAUCUCUUUAAAAAACUCAAUAAAGGGGGCUGGGCAUGUGGCUCAAGCAGUAGCGCGCUCGCCUGGCAUGCGUGCGGCCCUGGUUCGAUCCUCAGCACCACAUACAAACAAAGAUGUUGUGUCCACCGAAAACUAAAAAAUAAAUAUUAAAAAAUUCUCUCUCUCUCUCUCUCAAAAAAAAAAAACUCAAUAAAGCCAAAAUUGAAUUUAACAGGUUGUAAUAAAGCUAAUCACACUAGGAUAAGUAAUACUGUGAUUUUAAAAAUACUAGCAACAAAAGUAGAAUAUUUGAAGAGAAAGUAGAAAGAAAACCCUCAGAAUUCCAACCUAAAGGAUCUAGCCAAAAAGAAACAAUCUGGAGAAUUUAUAGUCUUGAAAAUAUCCUUUAGGGAAUUCGACACUGCCCAUCCCCAUUCCACCCUCAAAAGGUGACUAGAGGUAAACAUAGUUGUGUGUGUGUGUGUGUGUGUGUGUAAGGAGAGAGAGGGAUAAUCAUCCCUCACUAUCCAUGGGAGAUCAUUCCAUAACCUCUUCUGGAUACCAAAAGUCACAGAUGCUUUAGUCUCUUAUAUAAAAUGACACAGUAUUUGCAUAUAACCUGUAAAUAUUCUCCUGUAUUAUUUAUCAUACCUAAUACAAUGUAAAUGAUAUGUUGUUGUAUUUAAUCAUUAGUGAAUAUAGUUACAUAGUAGUUAUAUUGCUUUGGGAAUAAAGACAGGGAAGUUUAUAUGUUCAGUAUAGAUGUGGCUGUUUUCCUUAAUGUAUUGGUUUUGUAGGUAUAGAACUCAGAUAUGGAGGGCAGACUGUAUAUGAAAACCACAGUAGAAUUAAAGAAUUAAGACAGAAGCAGAAAAUAAGACUUUCUUAAAGUUAUGCUAUGAAUUGAACACAUUUUGUAAACUUUUCAUUCCACUGUAAACAUUAAAACAUUGUAUACUGAAUGUUUUAAAUUAAAAAAAAAAGGUUUAAAAUGCAAGAAAAAAUGAAUUUCCAGGGAUUAAAGUAAAAAAAAAAUCACCACGUUAAACUAUGAUUGGAACCUGAAGCUACAUAAAAUAAGAAGUGAACAUAGCAGCCUGGUUCUUAACAUAUGUGUACAAUAUGGGAAGCCUGUGUAUUGCAGCCUGUGUAUUGCAAGAGGUAAAAUUGGAUCCACUGAAGAAAGUUUGCAAUUGCCUAUUCAUGGAUAGAACUAAAAUAAUUUUAGAUCUUAUCAUCUCCCAUAUCCACUCCCACUCCUGCUCAAACUAUAAACCAAGUUAAAAGAAAAGCCACAGAUUGGAAAAUUGUUAUGAUUAUUGUAAUUGUAAUAUUAUCAUUGUAUGGGUUAUAAAAAGAUACUUAUAAUCAAUGAAAAUAAGGGGAAAGCGAUUAAAAAAUAGUAGUUCAAGAAUAUAAAUAAAACAUUCACAGAAGAGGAAAUCCGGCUGUGUUUCUAUUUACCUUCUCAGGUUCAGGGAAUUGGAAAUUGCUGAAUAAUGACAUGCCAUUUCCAGCUAUCAUACUUUUAAAUUGGCUAUAUAAUCUUUUAGUUUUAACUAGGAUGUGAGGAAGUAAACAUUCUCAUGACACGCUAGGAGCUGUGUAUAUAGAUGACUUUUGCUGUAUACAACUUAUUAACGAACUUUCAAAAGCUACAUGAAAUAAACGUAUUUUAGAAAAUGACAAAUUAAUUCAAGAUUCAGAGAACAGACUAAUAGAUCAACUAUGUUACAGGAAAUUGAAAAUAAGCAUAAGAAUGCUGCAAAAAUGUAGUAGGCUUACAAAAGUUCAGAAUCAUUUUUUGAUUAAACAUUCCAGUAUAGAAUAUUUGUUCAAUAUGUCAUAUUAACUAUUCAUAAUGCACUUAUUUCCCCAUAGGAUAUAUAAGGUCAGCUAUGAUACAAAAAUUAGAGAAAUAAUACACAAAACUUAUAAAACAAUAUUAUUUAUGGAAAUCCAAAUAUCCCAAAUACAGUUUUUAAUUUAAAUUUCAAUAUAUUAUAAUAAAUAAUCAUAAACAGGAGAUUAUCCUAGUGAUAAAAUGGUAUUUCAAUAUUUUAUUGUAUUAUAAACUGUUAUAUUAAAAGAAUAAAACAUACUGUAAAUAUCUCAGUAGUUGAAAAGCUAUAUAAUAUAGUUCAACACUUAACUUUUUUAGAACCUCAUGAUAUGCUAAUAAAAUCAGUAAAAAUGGCUAAAUAUUUUCACAUAUAUAGCUAGAUACAUAUAUAAAAUAAAUAUGCAUCUAUCAUCUAUCUAUAUAUAAUUUCAGCCAAAUUUAUUGUAAAAGAUCAGACAGUAAAAUAAUUUUAGCUGUGUUUCAUAUUCAAAUUUGCUCAAUAUUGCUGUAUAAAAGUACUUAUGGAUGAUAUGUAAAUAAGUGAUGAUGGCAGAGUUCCAAGGAAACCUUACUUAUUUAUAAUAACCAGCAACUGGGAAUUUAGUUCAUGGGUCCUAGUUUGCUAAAUUCUACCAUAGAAACUCUGUUGAGACUUAAACUCAUGCAUGAACAAUUAGAAAUAUUGCCACAAAAUUUAGGAACAAUAUAUAGAAACACAUUUUCUUAAUCCAUUUUAGUUGCUAUACGAAAACACUCUAAUUUAGGUCAGUUAUAAACAACAGAAAUUUUGUUUCUCCCAGUUCUGGAAGCCAGGAAAUCUUAGAUCAAGGUAAAUUUGUUGUUUGAGAGGGCUCUUUACUCGUGACAGCUACUUUCUUACUUUAACUUUCCUUGGCAGAAGAGCAGAAGGAUUUUUCUUGAAUCUCUCUGGUAAGGGGAAACUAAUUCUACUCCAUGUGGCUCUGUCUUCGUGAUCUAAUCGUUAAUUAAACCAUCCAGUAUAGAAUAUUUAUUUAAUAUGUCAUAUUAACUAUUCAUAAUGCAUUUAUUUCCCCAUAGGACAUAUAAGGUCACUCCUAAUAUAAUCAACAAGAGGUCAAGAAUUUCAGCAUAUGAAUAUGGGAGUGACAUAAUCCCAAAGAGCACAACCCCAAUGACCUACUUCCUCCAGCUAUCCCUCAUUUCCUACAGUUACCACCGAGUAAUCAUUCAAACUAUUAAGGAAGCAAAUGGAUGAAUGCAAUGAUUAUGUUUCAGCUCUCAUAAUCUAAUCAUUUCACCUCUGAACAUUUCUUCAUUAACAUGUGAGUUUUUACAGUUAUCACUUCAUAUCCAAACCAUAACAUAUCCUUAUAUCUAAGAUCAACUCUACCACUCUAUACUCGUUUCAUGUAUUAUCCCAGUUUUGUUCUAAAUAGUUGACAUCAAAGCAUUUUGGCCAACUCCAACACAACCCAGUGUUUGCUAUUUUCUCCAAUAAAAAUGUGUGUGUGUGUGUGUGUAUAUAUAUAUAUAUAUAUAUAUAUAUAUAUAUAUAUAUAUAUAUAUAUAUAUAUAUCUUAUAUUUUAAAUAUACUUUUCAUGUUUCUGUGAUAUUCUAGGUCUAAAUUCUGUUAUGCCAAUGUUGUUUCAAUUAGCUGUGACCAAAAUUUCUGACAGGAGCAGUGUAGAGGAGGAAAUAAUUAUUUUGGCUCUUGGUUUCAGAGUUUGAGUCCAUGGUCAACUGGCUCUAUAGCCCUGGGCCCAAGGUAAGUCAGAAUAUCAUGGCAGGAGGGUAUGACAGGGAAAAGCUGCUCAGGACAUGACAACCAGGAAGCAGAGAGCUUUGCUUACCAGGGACAAAAUAUAAACUGGAAUGACAUGACCCUAGUGACCUACUUCUUCCCAUCACAUCCUACCUGCCUACAAUUAAUGCCCAGUUAAUUCAUAUCAGUGAACCAAUCCAUUGAUUAAUCAAAGAUUUCAUCAUCUCAUCAUUUUAUAAUAUUCAUAAUAUUAUAUAUAAUAUAUGCAAUAUUAUAUGUAAUAUAUAAUUCAUAAUAUUAUAUAUAAUAUAUACAAUAUUAUGUGUAAUAUAUAAUUAUUAUAUGUAACAAAUAAUAUUGUAUAUAUUAUAUACAUAUUUUAAUAUUCAUAAUCUCUGAAUAUUCUUGUAUUUUCUCACACAUGAAAUUUUGGGGGGGAUACCUCAUAUUUAAACCAUAACAAAUGUAGAAUUCAAAACAAAACAUGUUAAAGACAUAUCAGCCUCAUAUCAUAUUCAGCCUCUAUUGUUUCUUGUUUCUAAAGGCAGAUGAUUAUAGUUUAGCUUCUACUAAUGAAAGAACACAUAUGGGAUGGAACUCAGAACUGAGUAAAAUGGAAAAAGAGAUUGGACCAAGAGUAGUCAUUUUUGUUGGCUUGUGUUUAUCAAAGACAGCUGAGUUCUAGAGUCAGCCACUAGGAAGACAAAUUCCUGAUUCUAUUACUUUAUGAUCAUGACAAAGGCAGUAUUGGUACUACAUCCCUACAUCAAAACAACAACAACAAAAAACAAACAAACAAACAAAAAACCGCAGCUUUGGCUUCCAGUUUUUUAUAGUUUCCUUCCUAAGCAUGGAAGAAAGUACAAAUCUGGAAACAAUAUUGAUGUAAGUAGUUUCCUCAAUCAGAUCUUCCAGUCAUAGAGAGAGCAGUGAAUCUUGCCUAAAGGAUCUUUCUUGGCAUGCCUUUUAUGUUCUUCAAACUCUUUAUGUUUCCCAAUAAAUCUCUUUCUGAUUAAAUUAUCUAUAGUGGAUUCUGUUAUUGGCAACUAUGAUUCCUAAUGGACCAAACUGCUGUGGGGUUGGUAACAUAGAGGCCAGAAACAAUGAGAUAAAAUACAUUGCAAAAGAAAUGGUUAUUAUUGUUACUAUUACUAUUAUUAUUAUGUAAAUUAUUUAUGAAUGCUUAAAGUUGUUUAUAAUUAUGUAACAUUCUGGGUUCAGUGAUAAAUUGUUUGCUUUGUUUUGUUAACACCCAUCCACACCUCAACAUGAGCCAGCAUUCCAAAAGGAUAUAAGAGGCUGACACUAGAACCACUAUUCUAGUUUUUACUGGGUGUUUGUAAAACUGAUUUUCUCACAUGACAUGUUCUCAAUUCUUUCUCAUGGGACUGUACUUUACCUAAUAAGGAAAAAUUGGUGAGGAGUAAGUAUAUAAAGUUUAUUCUUAGUUUCUGCCUGUAUUUCAUGCUCUAGUCAUUCAAAUACCCUUACCUACAGCAUUACUAUAGGCAAUUUAUCACUGAGCAUAGCCUCAGAGUGCUUAAAUCUGAGUCCUCUUGCUUUUCAUUUCAACAAAUGCUUAGCACAAAGGGUUCUUAUUUGUUGUUGGGAAAAUCUCUGUCUUUAACAGUCCAUUUGUUCUCUCAUUUUGCAGUAAUAGAAAACCAGCUGUGUAACUAAAAUGCAUGCAUGACAUAAUUCUCAUCAAAUGAUAUUAACUUACUCAGGUAAAAUAUUGAACAUACAAUAACUUGAAAAUAAUGUAUUAUCAGCCACCGGUUUGCUUCAGUUUUAUGUUUUGUAUACCUAGCCUAAAUUAACUUUUUUACAAAGGAAUAAGAAUUUUAAAAGCACUAGUAUGGUGUACAUUCCAUAAGAACAAGGACAGUGUGUUAACUCAUCUUUCAUCAAUGUGACAGAAACAACAACAACAAAAUAACAAGAACAACAUAGAGGAGUAAGUAACUUCUGAUAUCAGAAGUUCAGUCCAUAGAGAACUGACUCCUUUGCUCCAGGUUCAAGAUGAGGCAAGAGCAUUCUGGUAGAAGGAUAUGGUGAGAGGUGCUGCUCCAUUCAUUGCAUCAAGGAAGCUUCCUUCCAGGGCAUACCCUCAGUGAACAACCUCACCCAAUCACCUGCCUACUGUUAUCACUUAGUCCAUUCAAAUUAGGAUGGACUGAUUUGAUUACAGCUCUUGGAAUCCAAUCAUGUCUCCUCCAAACAUUUGUGUUAUAACACAGGGUUAUUUUAAGGGACACCACAUAUCCAAACCACAACAGAAAAGUUCUUAAACUCAUCUCCAAAGUAAAUUUAAGGAAAAGAGCAAAAAAUUGCCUGCAUUGUUCAGAACUAUCAGUCUUUUGUAUUUUUUUUAAAUCCCAUUUCUUAAAGCCAUGGGGGAAAGAAAGAAUAGAAAUGACUGAGCCCUAGAGAAGAGGGGAUAAACAGCUGAUAAACAUAACUUGUUUUUUCCUAGAAUAUUCUGAGUUUCACCCUCAUGGUUUCUGUCAAAGAUAAUAAUAACAAAAAUAACUAAAACAAAAACAAAGAAUGAAUUUGCUUUGAAUCAGUCUGCGUGGCCCAGACAUCUUUGAUGAGGAAGAAGAUUCAGAUUCUUCAUUAUAUUAAGCUAUAUAAUUUUUAAAAAUUUUUUAGUCUGAGUCUUUCUUUAAUUUAGCCUUCUGAUAAAAUAUAUUCAAACUUUUUAAUUAGUGUAGAAUAUUUAACUAGUUUAAAUUUAACAUUAUGUGACUAUUAAGUGGGAAUUAAAAAAAUAAAAUAAAGAGGAUUCCCUAGUUACCUUCACUCCCUUUCUCCACUCUUCUGGAGAAUUUCGGUACCCUAUAUUUGCAUUAUGCAACUGGUCUCCUUGUUUCAAUAAGUUCCCAACUCAAAAAUUAGUAAACUUUUUCUGUAAAGAAUCAUUUAGUGGAUAUUGUAGGCUUUUGUCUCUGUUGCAAAUACUUAACCGUAUUGUGCAAGCACAACCACAAACAAUAAUUAAACCAACAUAUCUGACUAUGGUACAAUAAAACUUUUUUUUAAUAUAAAAACAGGGAUUAGACUAGAUUUGGUGUAUAGACUUCUGUUUUCUGAUCUCUGCCCUUAAAUUAAUUAACCAAUCAAUCAAAAUAAUUUGUUUUAAAAAAGCACACCACCAGUUUGGUAACUAUAACAUUUAAAAUAUUCUUUGGAGAUGGAUAUAGUGGAUUUUUUAAUGUCAAGUAAAUGUUAUUUAACAAAGAAUAUCAAAGGACAUUAGAUUUGGGGUCCAGGGCAGAAAAGCAAGUAGUGGUUUCAACAUUUACAAAAAAAAUGUCCAGAAAAUCAAAAGCUUUUGCAUAGGAAAUAUGGUCAGGAGAAAACAGAAGGUUAUUUGCUCCUUCAGAGCAUUAUGUUCCAAACUUAUAGACAUUCAUCUUUCUCUUCUGCUUUCCUUCCAAAAUCCAUUUGAUGAACAGAUUUGUCUUCUGGUAUAAAGACUAUGGAUCAUUCGAAUUAAGUAACCUGAAAAAGGUGAACAUUGAAAAGUGUUCAAAUGAAUUGUACUUAGCACUUAGCUUGAAGGGGACUUUCAACAAACAAAUGUUUUGGUAUCUUUUUUUUCUUUGAAAGGUAAUUAUUUAUUAUGGUAGAAAUUACAUAAAAUACACAUUGAUUUAUUGUGCAUGUUUCAUGUUAAUUGAAUCUUCAAGUCGGAUAGCUGCUAUAACUUGAUACAUUUACUUCUUGGUAUUGUCUUGGCAAUGUAUGUAAUUUUUGAUUUCUUAUUGAGGAUAAUGCAUAUAAGUUUCAGAAAUAACCUCUAAGCACCAAGACAGAACUUUUGAUGUCCAUUUUGAUUGUAGUUAUUUUAGGCUUAAAACAGCCAAGAUCCCAUUCCACAUGAAAACAUACACUAACCCUCUGAGAGUUGUCAAAAGAAACAUUAAAUCCCCAUAUUCAUUGAUAAAGACAAUUUCAUUUUGUUGCUCCUUCUUUCCUCUCCAUUUCUUUCUUAAUAGUUUUAUUUCCAAGUAUUCAUGCUAGACAUACAAAAUGACAUUAAUGCACUUGUAAGAGUUUGGAAGAUGAUAGAGCAGAGCAUAUCAAAACUAUCCUAGAAUCUGUGUCAACAUUUAUUCUUUAUCUCGAAAUAAAGAAAUGAAGAUUAUUAAUUUGAAAUGAACAUGUAUUUCUAAUCAUUAAUAUAACAUGCUUAACAUAUAUACCCAUGUUUUAUAAUACACAUUUAUCCACUUAUAUUUAUUGUAUAGAUUGACAUUAGUAACUUCACUUAGUUUCUAUUAAAGAUGACCCUGUCUCAUAUGGAAUUGCCAAUAUAUCCUGAGCAAAGAGUCAAUAUUCCCUGAUGUGGAAUGCAUAAGACUAUAAAUGCUGUGGAAAAGUCUCAAUAUGUCUCAUUUUAUAUUAUGUGUUGUGAGUGAUUUUAUCUUAAAAUAGCAUGCUAAUUAAAAUAUCAACUUUUUUCCAAGCCACUAAAGAAUUAUCAUAGAAGCAGUAAAGAAAUUUCAAAAAGAAUAAAGAUCAUCAACUAUUGUUUAAAAAAACAAUCAUUUAUUAUUGUUUUAAAGAAACUACUUAAAAUGAUGUUUUAAAGGAACAAAUUUGUUUUGUGGAAUAUUUUUAUAAACACAAUUCCCAGUUGAAAAAGUGGCUUGAUUAGAAUAAAAAGUAAACAAGCAUUUCAACCACUGAAAGGGACUCUAAGUAGAUUUCAUUAUUACUACCUUGUUCCUAUUCCACUGUUUCCUUCCCUACUUCUGUAUUGAGAUGAGUUCUUGAAGUUCAUCUCCCAUCAUGCCACUACCUCUGUAAACAUUCCCUUCUUGAAAGAAUUGUGUUCAACACUUUGUGAUCAUAUUAUUUUUUUUCUCAUCUUUCAACAUUUUAUUAAAAGCAGAUACUCUUGCCACAUUAGACUACAUGAGCAUUUCUAUAUAGGCUUUGUCUAGAAAAUCAUGGACCUUUCUCUUCCCUUUCUCUAUCAAAUCUUUGCAUUGUCAAAUGCUAUCUUCUUUAUAAGUCAUUUUCUAUCCUCCCCAUUGAGAUUUUACCUUAUUCUUUUAUGUUCUCAUUUUUCAUAGUUGUCUUAUCUUUUAUGUGGUUUGAAAGAAACAACUAUUUUUUUUUCUUAUUUGUCAUUGUCCACAUAAGGGUUCUUUGAUGAGUUGAAUUUGUUUCUCCUACUCCAGGACCAUAAACUGUCUCUACUUGAUUUCUUUCUGAGCCCCAUCACUGAAUACCCUUUAGUAUGAAAAAUAAUUUUUCAAAAUUUUUGCAGCCAUUUUUAUGUUUAAUUAAAUCAUGCACUUCAGGAGGGCAAAACCCAUGAAUUAGUUUUUAUUCAAUCCUGGUGACACCUAAACCAGAGCUUACUAAGUUUAUGACAGUUAGUAGGUAUUUGUUAACUAAGCACAUAAGCAUUAUUUGUGAUUUAAUGCUAUGGUUUUGCUUAGUACUGGACCUAUACUCAAUAUAUUUUGUAUCAGAUUAUACUUUUCAAAGACAAUCGCAUAAUAUUUCUCUUCCAUUAACACUGUCUAUGUUAGGAAGUAAAUUGUCUGUACUCUCCUCUUGCACUUGAGUAGGCUCUUGGGUUGCUUAUAAAUAAUGCAAUGCUGUGGAAACAAUACAGAUAACUUCUGAAUCUUAGUUAUAAAAGACUCUGGGGCUUCUUGCUUUGUUUUCCAGAACAUUCUUACUUGGAGACCUGAGUAGCCAUAUAAGAAAUCUGACUACUGUGAAACUACCACCGUCUGAGGAAGCAAGGAGAGGAUACAUGUUGACUCUACAGUUUGAAAUCACAGUCUUCUGAGUUCAGGUGUCAGUCAUGUGAGUGUUAUAGUCUGAACAUGUUUGUUUCCUCAAAAAUUCAUGCUGAAACUUAAUGCAAUAGUAUUGGAAGGCAUUUCCUUUGGGAGGUGAUUAAGUCAUAAGAGCAGAGUCUUCAUGAAUAGGAUCAGGGGCUCUUAUGAAAGGCAUUGACAGAGGCCUUCUGUCUCAUCUACCACAUACAGAAACAUGAUCCUUCCCUCUAGAGAAUGAGGCAUCAAGGUGCCACAUUGGAAGCAGAAAGCACACACAUAAAUUAUCAGAAAAGCACCACUAAGGAUUCAUAUUGGAGUUGCAACUAGCAUUAUUCAAGGGUUUAUGGUAUAUUUUUAUCAUCCAACUAAAAUGAAGUAAAAAAGACUGGCAUUGCAGUCAAGUUCAUAUCAAUGCAUCGAAGGGAAAGAAUCAGCUAAUGUUAUACUUGCUUACUGACAUCAUUAAUUAGUGAUAUUCAUUUGAUCUAGGUGUAUAAAAAUAGUAGAUAGAAUUUAUUCUUGAAAUAAACCAUGGAGACUAAAAUUGAUAGUAGUACCUAAGAGAGAGGAAAGGUUAUAUUUUGGAGUUAGUUUCAUAGUACAAAUCUAUAUAUCACUGUGCCUUUUUAAUGCAUCCCUACAUUAAUCUUAGAUUUAAUGUGUGAAGUAUAUGGAACAAAGAGACCUUAAGGAUUGUAUCAGAGAAAAAGGAACUUGGCUUUGUUUUUACUAUUUUUGAGCACAUAUUGGUUUGACUAAUUCCCAAGAACUAUAUUUUAGUAAUACAUAUUGAGGGUCAAGUUUUAUUUAUUUAUAUAUUCAAAUUUGCAGGAAAUUCUCCACGAUUCCAAAGAGAAUGUCCUCUUUCUCCAUUUACUGUAGGAUUAUUUCAUUGCCUGGUACAUGUUUCUGUGGAAUUAAAGUAAUGUGAUUUGAGUUGGAAUAAAUUUGCCUCACUCAAAAAAAUAAUAAUAAGCACCAAACUUGUAGGUGCUUUUUAUUUGAUUCAUUUACUCAAGAAAACAAAAUUUUAUUUGUAAUUAUUGGUUUGAUUCUUUUGAGGAGAUGCCAAUACUCAUACUUACCUAAGACAAAUAUUUAUAAAUAAUUAUCGAAUUUUCCUCAUUUAGUCUGGUAAUAGGGUCAGAAUUCAUAAUGGAGUGAUUCAUUGAAUAUCUAUGAAAUUCUGAAAAUUGGUGUAUGACUUGAAAUGUUGUCAUUCUUGUUUACUGGUAUCAUUAAUUGAUAUUUAAUAGAGAUAACUAUAUACUUAUUUGGGAAUAAUUGAAAUCAAUAUCUAGAACUUGCUACUGGCUGAUUAUUUUUAAUCUGACAUGUAUAUAUAUGCAACUUCUAUAGAUUAGAUAAAUGUAUACAUUUAUUAAAAUUUUAAUAAAACAGUGCAUGCAAUUAAUUUUUGUACCUUAAGUAUGUUUGAAAUUCUUUUUUAAAAAAUUAUAUACAGGGGCCGGGGUUGUGGCUCAGAGGUAGAGCCCUUGCCUAGCAUGCAUGAGGCACUAGGUUUGAUCCUCAGCACCACGUAAAAAUAAAAUAAAGGUAUUGUGUCCAUCCGCAAUUAAAAAAUAAAAGUUUAAGAAAAUUAUAUAGAAUUUCUUUCCAGAGCAGUUGGAACAGAAACAUAUGAAAAACUUUCUUCUUCAUGCUUUCUUUAAUUUCUGCUCUAUAACAAUUUAAACCUAACCAUAGGUAGAUUACAUUAUAAUCAAAGUGCUUCAACAAAGAGCACAGACACUUACCCAGAAAAGGAUAUGGGUAGGAAUAUUUUAGGAUACGAUUAUGUUGUCCUAUAAAUGGAGGCAAAUUCUUAAAAAGAUUUUUUUUGUUUGAACUUCCAUAUAUCUGUGAUUAAGUUUUUUAUUGAUUCAAUUUAGUUAUGCAUGACAGUAGAAUUCAGUUUGACAUAAUUAUAAAAGCAUAGGAUAUAAUUUGUUCUAAUUCACUUCCCAGUACUUCCCCUUCAUCUCCCCUCCUCCCUCUCCCUUUUCCUGCCCCUCUGUUCUAUUAAUCUUUUUGCUCUCUACUUAUAGUUUCUUUUUAAUUAGUGUUUUAUAGGUGUGCAUGAUGGUGAGAUUCACUGUGGUAUAUUUAUUAGGUACAUAGGAAAAUUAGGUCAGAUUCAUUUCAUUGUCUUUCCCUUCCCUGCAUUUCCUUUUGCCUACUCCACGGAUCUUUCUUCUUUUUUUUUAAUAUUCAUUUUUUAGUUGUAGUUGGACACAAUACCUUUAUUUUUAUGUGGUGCUGAGGAUCAAACCCAGGGCCUCACACGUGUUAGACAAGUGUUCUACCACUGAGCCACAACCCCAGCCCUUUUCUUCUAUUCUUAAAAAGAAGAAUGACUUUAUGAUAUUUGCCAGUAAAUGAAUGGAACUGGAGACUAUCAUGCUAAGUGAAAUAAGCUAAUCCUCAAAAGUCAAAGAUCAAAUGUUUUCUCUGAAAUGCAGAAGCUAAUCCCAAAUAAAGAAUGGGGAAUAAAAAAAGAUUGAGAGAGAAUAGAAUAAAGAUCUAUGAUUAAGUUUUGAGGCACUGCUACUUUAGGAACAAAAAGCUUUCAAGCUUAAAUCAUUCUUAGUGUAAUGUUCUCCUAAAGACAAAUGGGAAUGUUUCUAGCUGAGAAGUUGAAAGGUGAGAAAAGGCUAAGCUAAAACUAUCCUCACAGUACAGUGUUUCACUUAAUGAUAAAUGGUACUGCUUCAACCUGAGAAGAUGAAAGAUUUUGCAUUUACUUUGAAGCACAGCAAAAGCCAAGUGCUCACUACUACUGAUUUCAGGUGUGUCUAAAUAAGUGGAGUAAAUGGUAGAGUACAAGCCAUUAUUACACUGAGAAAAAUGUCAUUACUUGUCUCUUUCUUCUGGAAAACACAUUUUGUGCUGCCAAGGAAAAUCUUGUUGUCCAUAGAAGAAAAUUCAAAAAAAAUUAAAUGCUUAAUCAAAUCAUCUUUUUAUUCUUUUUCAGAAGAAUAUUUUAGAAAAAAAAAGAUCAAAGCUCACCAAAAUUAUCAGUUUAUUACUUUCCAAAACCUUUUGUAAUUGAGUACUUGUAAUGUGAAGCAUCCAUCAAAGAAUUUCAAUUUAUUUUGCUUAAACAUGUCACAUCCAUAAAAAGAGAAAUUAUUUGCAUAGUUUGUUGAUCAGAUUUUGUGUACACAAAACAUCUUAAAAAUAGAAGAUGACUUGCUUUUAAGUGAAGAAAAGGGCAAGCAAGAAAGGAGAUAUGAGUCAGUAUUUGAAUAUAUGCAAGUGUCAGGAUGUCUAUCUCCCAGAUUUUCAUUCAAACAUUUCUCACAAAAGGAUUAUUUUUCAAUUUUCAUAAAGGAAUGGUCCACAUUUAUAUAUCUCCACUGGCUUAUGACCAGUGUUAUUAGAGAGUGAACAGAACAUUCAGUCAGUAUUAUCCUAGAAAUUAUAAUUCUUAAAAGAGUACUAUUCCACCAUCUACAAUGACAACACAACUGAGAUUGUAGAUAAACUAAAACUUAAAUAUCUAGAAAUGACUAGAAUAAUUAGUGCCCAUAAAACAUAUAAUAGCUCUCAAUUUCUUCUUAGAUAAACUAUAAAGUUGUUCUUAUUUAGCUAUAGAUCUUGCUCUAAUUAAAAAGAAAAUGCUCCUAACUUUCUCUUUCUAUUGGUUUAUUGACCUGACUUCCUACCAUAAUCUGUUCCCACAAUUAGACUUGUAAAAUCAACCAUUUUUCUUUGCCUACUAAGACUUUUCAGACUAGAAAUAAGGGGGAAAAGGACAAGGAAACACAUUAGCUUGGUGACCAAUUCCUGUCCAUUUCCAAUAUGAAAUAUUCCAGGAGAAACUGCCUUGGACACUCUGCUGAUGCCAUGUUCUGCCCUGUGUUAAAAAUGGCCAUCUGAAUCAGAUCUUGGCUUGCUGUGCCUUUUGAAUACAGUGCCAUGGACUGCUCAUGGAGACUGGUGAGUUCUGCCCAAAUGAAUCCCUAACAUUCCCAGUCCAUUCCCAAACCUUUGCACAUUCAAAGUAUUUCUUGACUCCUUUAGAAUAAAUUUUUAGUUUCUUCAUCAUUGUCAUGUGGGUGGAUACAGGUUGAUUAAAAUUAGACUGUGUUGCAUGUAGUUUAUAAAUCCCUGGCUAAUUAUUUUGUUUUCCUUUUUCUUUCUUCUAUUUUUUGAUGAUAAACUUUGACCAGGGAGGGUUGUAGGAUAAUAAUGGAAAAUGCUAAUUUUUAUUAGUUCUUAAAAAUACUAUUUAUUGUAUAAAAACCAUAAGUUGCUGGGGGUGUAACUCAGUGGUAGAACAUCUGCUUAGCAUUUUUGAGGCCCUGAGUUCAAUCUGCAGGACCAAAAUAAAUAAAUAAAUCAUAAGAGAGAAGAAUAUGCAUUGAAGCAUAUUCUUUACUCUUCCUGAUAUUUAUUUUGUCACUAUGCAAUUUAUCUGGCUAUAGUGAUCAGAUUUCUGUUAAAAGAAAUACAUUUAUCUAUAUGUAAGUCUAAUUGUGUGUAUACAAGCAUGCAUAAGUUGUGGUGAGCCAUUCUUAUAGACCGUGGCCGCCAUUAGAAGAUGGCGCCGGCUUCCACUGUGGCCUGUGAUAAACAACUCCUUUUUUGGAGAGUUGGCACGCAAUCCCUUACCACCCUAUGAGAGAGAUCCACGUGGCAGCUUGGGAUUGGUAUGCGGGAGGCUUUAUUAGGCUGUGUUUGGGCACUCGGUGGGGGGGUCACUAGAAGAUGAUACAUGAAUCAAGGCCUGAAUAAACUGCUGAAAGAAGAAUCCUGUGUCGUGUUUUCCCUUGCCGGCGAGGGGUCGCGACAAUAAGUGUGUGUAGAUAGAUAGAUAUGAAUCUGUAUUUAUUUUCUCUUUCUCACUGUGAUGUGUAGCCUAUCGGUUUAAUUCCCUUGGCAGUUGAAAGGGCUGCCUGAAGCUAUUCUUCAAUCCCAGCUGUAUUUUGGAAUUUUCUUGGCUAAGAAAGUUACCUAUCCCAAAGUCACAGUUUCUAAGAUACAUCAUAACUAAUGACUAUUCAAUGACAGAGCAUAAAAAUUACUUCCUCCCCCCAAAUAAUAAGAAUUCUGAAGGACUAUAUGAGUUUCUGGUUGCCUAUUGUUUCAGUGAGACGACGUUGUAGCCCAUCUUUUUUCUCUGAACUAUCUUAAUUCCUUCCUUCUGUCUCCAGGAUGCCAUUCUAAAAGUACUCCUGAUAAAUUUCUUUCAUGCUGAUCUUCAUCUCAGAGUCUACUUCCCAAAGCACUCAUGUUCUAAUACACUAUUCUAAAAAGUCAGUUUAAAAUACUUAAAUAGUAUUGUUAUUAAAGCCUGGAAUCUAGGGCUUUUUUAUUUUAAUAUUCAUGAAAGGUUCAGUUAGGAUAAUAGAAGCGUUACAGCUCCAUUUGUGCAAAANUCAAACUUACUCAUAAAUGAGUCAUUCCACUCAAUCAAUUAGAAUAAGAAGAGCAAGAGACUACAACUUAAAGUUUCAUUGGUAAAUUUCAAAGCUCAAUGAGUCUGAUGGAUAUAUAUCUGGAGAAAAGUCUAAUGAUUUCAUUUUUAUCUAUGCUUAAUCUUACAUCUAACAAAAGAAGGAUAAGGGAUAAAAAAUAUAACUGCAUGUGUUAUCUAUUAUCUGCACUCUAGUUAUAAUUAUUGGAAAAUUUGUCCCACAUGUCACUGGAAAUUGAGAUUCUAUUUUUGACAAAAGGCAUUCAAAUGGUUAUUUUCACACCAAACCCAAAAAUCACAUUUACAGAACACAUUUUAUUCCCUUAAAGCACCAUUGAUACUAAAGGCUCAGCAAACAAUCAAACUCUAUUUAAUUAUUCACCAUAAUGCUUUUUAGUAGAAAAUCAAGUUUUCUAGUUUUUAUUAGAUUUAUAUGGCUGGUUGUUAUCUUGUUAGAGCUUAGGCUUUCUUUAGAGAGGAAAUCAACAUAACUGGUGCUAUGAAAGCAAAAAUAAAGAUCUUUUGUUUCUGGAAAAACAAUAACUAUAAAAUCCAAUCAGAGUUUGUGAACUUUUGGAGCAAACUGCUUUGGGGGCUUAUUGAGGGUACCUCUUCACAAUUACAUCAUUCUGCCUUACUGUUUGUUCAUCUGAUUUUUUCCAUUCAAAUUACAACAUCCUUUACUUCUUGAAUGGUAUAAGCUUUUCUCUCUUGGUCUGCAGCAGGGGGAAUCCAGAAUAAGGAAAGAGCUGUUGGUUGAUUAAAAUUGACAUAAUAACAAUAACUAUCCUGCUUUGUACAUGAUCUUGAGUAUGCUUCUUUUUAAUAUAUAAAAACCAUAUGAUGAUGACACUUCUCUUUAUUCUUUUCAUUAUUUAUUCUUUUCCCAGUAUUUGUAACUGUAUUCUUAAAUGCUCAGACUUUUCUUUUUUAUAGAAUCUUCUUGACAGAUGCCAAAUUUAUUGCUAUGCACAAAAAAAGAGAUCCAUUGUGAAGUAUUAUAAGGUUAAAAAAAUCAGCUGAAUUGUAAAGAUAGAAAGUCAUACUCAAACUUUUAGACCACUUAGUGUGUGUUUCUGGAACUUGAGAGUGCAUAAGGAUCAAAAUAUUUUAUUAAAGACAGAACAGAGCUCCACCCACAGAAUUUCUAAUGGCAGCAUGAAGGUAGCUUAAAUUCAUUGGUGGGACUGUAACAGGGACCACUUUGGCAUUUAUACACAAUGGAAUAUUACUCAGCAUUAAAAAAGAACAAAUCAUGGCAUUUGCAGGUAAAUGGUGUUGGAGAAGAUAAUGCUAAGUGAACUCAGCCCAUCCCGAAAAAACAAAUUUCGAAUGUUUUCUCUGAUAUAACGGGGGUGACUCAUAGCGGGGUAGGGAGGGAGAGCAUGGGAGGAUUAGAUUAAUUCUAGAUAGGGAAGAGGGGUAAGAGAGAAAGGGAUGGGGAAGGAGGUUAGCAAGGAUGGUGGAAUGUGAUGGUCAUCAUUACACAAAGUAAAUGUAUGAAGACUUGAACUGGGUGUCAACAUACCUUAUAUACAAAUAGAGAUAUGAAGAAUUGUGUUAUAUAUGUGUGUUAAGAAUUGUAAUGCAAAAAAGUACAUGUAUAAUGACAUAAAUUGAUGUGAACAUACUUUAUAUACAGUUAUGAAAAAUUGUGUUCUAUAUGUGUAAUAAGGAUUGUAAUGCAUUCCACUGUUGUUGUGUAUUUAAAAAAUAAUAAAAUCAAUAAAAA